rnacentral:lncRNA from 1 species
CUCAAGAACUUUCUUUUUGGCCCCUCCGUGGUGAAUCUUUCCUUUGUUCCAUGCAGGGGACGUGUUGUCUGUAACCUCUUUUGGCACAUCCGAAAGCCAGUGAAGUGAGCAAGAUGAGUGAGCAAAAUGAAGGGUUGCCUUUGGGAGCAAAACCUUGUGGAAGUCACCAGGCACUCCAGCUGCAAGGUAGUGUCUCUCUGGCGGAAGUGAAGCAAAAAGUGUGUUGAAAUCAUUAGAUAUAUGGUCAUUAAAAAAGACUUCAAACUCAGGGACUUCAGAUGCUAGUCCUUCUUUUCUGAGUUUUUCCUCCAGGGCUUCUCUUAUGGCUUUCAUGGCCACAAAUGUAUUUGGUCCUGUAGAACAGCCAAAAUCUGCUAUGCGAAAUGGAUGCACAGAGGUUGAAGAAAGUUGCUUGACAUCAAGUUCUUUGUCAAUCUCUUCUUUGAUAAGUUCUUUUGCAACGUCUACUGCUCCUCUCUGCCACAAAAAAACAAAAGAAAAUAAAUAAAAUCUUUACGUAAGUCUUAUAGACCUUAGACAUUUAUAAUGAGGUAACUGCAGUUUAAACUAGCAACCUGAAAGGAUGAGUUUUGGUUAUAGCUUUGAGGUCCAUUUCCUCCAUUCAUGGCAUAUACUUGAGGCAUUUUUUCUAUCUAUAUCUCUUCUCUUACCAUGUCUUGAUACCUCUGCCUAGAUGGUUUAAUUUAUACUAGGCAGAGGCUUAGGCUUAAGUGUUGUCUUUUAGCCCUUUACACGACGGGCAUUUCUACUAAUAAAUACCAAUCCUAAUAUAUAACAGGAUUGACAUAUGCAAAACAAACAAGAAACCAUAGCAGAUUUGUAUCUAUCCCCCGACAACCCCACGAAAAUCGGGUCAAAUUAUUUUUCUAAAUGAUAUUUUAGUUUUCAAUGGCUGCAUAUUGUUUUUUUUUUCUUCCUUUUUUUUUAUUGAAGAUAUCACAUGCAUACAGCAUGUACCCAGCAGGCCAUAAUUCUAUAUUUGUUGUCCAAUGACUAGGGUUGAAAGACGAAUUAAACUACUCGAAACUCGAAUUGACCUUAACUUUAUUCGAAUUUAGUUAACUAACUAAUCAAAUCGAACUUGAGCGGCAUUUUGUAUUUGAUAAAUUUUCAAAUUUGACUCGAGCUUCGCUUCCUUUCACUGUGAAUUUGCCAAAUUACUAUGAAUUAAUUUCCUUUUUAAAUUACUCACCCAAUUUGACUCGAGCUUGGCUUUCCUUUCAAAAUUUUUACUUUUACCCAUGCUUUUUCUUUCCUGUUGGUUUUUUUUUUUUUUGUGCCAUGAUGUAAAGAAAUAAAGAACACAACUGCAAAUGAUAAGUAUAUUUAGAAUUAGUCAUUGGACAUAACAUGGAUUUUUUUACCUUCUCUUUUUGAUAAAACAACAUCAUAAUUUCAAUAAAAUCUGUAUUAAUAACAGAAGUUACAUAAUCAAAUAUACACAGAUUUCAAAGAACAAAUCUGAAGAAUAGAUAAAAAUUACACUAUAAAGCUCCAAAUUUUUAAAAAAUGAGAAAAAAUAAUUGUGGCUCCACAAAUAUCUGUGCAUGCUUCCAAGCUUCCGAUCCGCUAAUUAACUGUUUCAAGUCCAAUUAUUAUGGUGAGAUCUAUCAAAUAUAUUUAAGAAAUUCCAGAUCUAAUAAUCAAAACUUGAAAAAACUCAAAUCUAAUAAAAGAAAAAUGAAAAAAAUUACAUAAAACUCUCACCACGAAUCUCUAGGAGAAAAGAAAACUCACUAGAAAGUCUAGGAAAAACUCUCCCUCAACAAUCCUAGGAGAGAAGAAACUCUCAUUAGUAAGCCUUAGGAGAGAUUCUAUUCACACAAAUGAAAAAAAUUAUAGAGAGGGCUUCUCUAAUGGGAAUGAUAAGAAAAAUCUGAUAUUUGAUCUCUCUCCCAUGGGAGAGUUGAAGGAAGUUUUGAUUGGAGAGUUUUUUCAGAGCGAUGUCAAAGAAAAUCAACUUUUCUAGAGAGGAACAAGUGCAAAACAUUUUGUUGUCAUUUUUUUCCUUCUCUUUAAUAUUUUUCAAUUUUGAUUGUGCUAGCGUAAUUCUUUUCUUGACUAUGCUCUGGCUUUCAGAAAUAUAAAUUUACUGAUAUUUCCACAUAUUAUUGUCCUUUUUUGAUAAAAAAAAUAGAAUUUGUCAACGAAUUAUCAAAAAUCAUCCAGUACGAUUUGAUUUACAUCCCUGUCCUAAUGGUAGGUUAAAUAUGUAUUAGAAAUAAAGAUCAAAUCUACAAUUUAAUAAAUACAAUAUAUUUAAAUAUUUUUGAAUAGAUCUAAAAGUUAUAAUAAAUUUUCAAAUUAUAUUCUAACAAGAUAAAUUUGCAGCUCCCUGCGUUGCAGUCGCCAAAUCUACUAAUCAAUGGUUUUAAAUUCCAAUAAUGAUAUGAUCUGAGAGAGACUCAAGAUCUAAAAAAUUCUAAAUCUAACAACUAGAUUUAAAAUAAAUUCGGAUCUAACAACAAAAGAAAAAAAGAAAAAACUUCUCAUUAGAAACCCCUAGGAGAAACAAAAAAAUUGCCCUCUGUGUCGUCAGUUUAUUAGCAAACCUUCCUUUGGAGGUACGAAUCAUCAAGUAGUCUAUAAUGAUCACCGGUGUUGGUUUAAAUUUCGUCCGGUUUUACAAAGCAACUAAAAAUUAUGAUCUGUACAACUCAUUUUAUUGUUUACGGCGGAUGGAAAUAUUAAACUUCACAUAAAUAACAAACCCCAACCAGUGUUGCACAUGUCAUAAUAAAAAAAAUGCAUAUAUGUACAACAAAGCAUAUUAAGUAUGCUAAAAUCUAAAAUUCAUUUACCAAGAAAAGUAUAUUCUAUGUUGAUUGAUGACUACUAAAUAAGAGAGCAAAGAGGAGGAAUUUUUUUUUUUUUUUUUUUUUGAAGAGGAGAGGAGGAGCAUGUUCAAGUUGAAGCCUGCAUACAACACAAUCGUUCAGGGAUAGUCCUUUUGAUGACUGUCCCUAUCCGAAGUACUUAAUAAAUCCUUUGUGAAGUUGGAGCACGUUCGAAAACUGUAGAGAAUCAAACUAUUGAAAUGAUUGAAAAAUCAAGAAGGGGAAAAUUCUUGCUAGGAAAAAAUCAGUAAUUAAAUAAUUGAUAAAAGAAGGGGAUUAAAUCCACACCCUUCCAUCCUAGAUCCACAUCACAAGCGCUAAUAAGACAUUAAUAUGUGUUAGAAAUAAUAGAUCGGAUCUACAAUUUAACAUAUACAAUAGAUCUAAAAAAUUUUGAACAGAUUUGAAACUCUUAAUAGAUUUUGAACAGAUUUAAUAGAAACUCUUAAGUUGUCUUCUAGCAAGAUAAAUCGUUGUAACUCUUUUUUGUGCAUGUUGUAAUUGCUAGAUUUGUUAAUCAACGUCUGCAGUGAUGGAGAAAAAGUGGGGCUAUUGCCCCCAUUGACCCCUCCUAAAUCUCCAUAUUAAUUUAUAUAUAAAAUUAGAGUUUUGCCCCCACAUUCAAAUGAAAUCGCCCCACUACUCUUCAACAAAAUUCAAGUAUUAGAGAAUUGCCCUCACUAAGUUGUCCGUAUCUGCAUAUAAAAUUGUAAGUUUGCCCCCACACUUGAAUGAAAUUAACCGUACUACCCUUCAACAAAAUCUAAAGUAAUAAUGUACACUUUGUUUAUAUAUCUCUAUAUCAAACAAUUUAACAACACUUAAAAUUAAUAACACUAUUGCUAGCACACAAAAAAAAAUCAUGCAGUAGAAGUAUAAAUGCGAUAUAUAAAGACUUGGAUAAAUAGCCACUCAAAAAUAUAUUUGAUUAGAAUAUACCAAGUCGCGAGGCUCUAAUUGAUCACUCAAGAGGUGAAGGGAAAUCGUAUCACUUGGAAGGCAAAGAAACAAGGCACAGAUAUUUUGGAACAAUGCUUUAACAUAUACUAACUCAAAUUUUACAUGAGGUUGCUCAAUUGAGCAUUCAGCCAUAAGGCCAUAUAUACAGGAAAGAAACUAACAACUCCUUAUUAGAUUUUACUAUCAUAAACUCGUUCCAAUUGUAAUAUCAAAAAAACAAUUUAACUCUGUUUCUUAAAUCAAUUUUGGCACCAAUUCUAAUCUAGUUACCAAAUAAUAAUAUAAUUCUAAAACUGCUAAAUUUCUAAAAAGGUCUGGUUUAAAAUAUGUCAACAACGGUUUUGUCUAAACAAAGAAAGAGACUCAAUUUACAUUUAUUCUUUUUUUUAAUCUAUUUUAACAAAUCCAUUAGAAUUUUUAAAUAACUUUUUUCACCACACAUUGGAACUCACAAACAUUGCUAAUUUUUUUUUUCCUCUUAGAAAAAUCUAGAGAAAAUUUUUAGGGUUGUGAGAGGAAAAGUAGAAAAAUCCUUUAUUAGGAAAUUUGAGAUUUGAAAGAGAUUUGUUUUGUUGUUAAAUUAUAGAUUAAUUAUAAACAUAACAUCUAGCAUAUAUUGUUAGUUAAAUAUAUUUUUAUAAUUUAAUUAGUAAUAUUUUAGAUAUUAACUUUACUCCAUUAAAUUUCUUUUCUAACUCUGCCCGUGAACAUCAAUAAGCAGCAAUAAUGUUGAUGAGAUCUGUCAAAAGGGACCCAAGAUCUAAAAAAUUUCGAAAUCUGAAAUAAAUUUAGAUCUAACAAUAAAAGAAAAAGAAAAAAAAUAGAAAAUUCUUACAAGAAACCCCAGAAGAAAGAGAAAAUUGUCCUUUGUGUUGUCUGUCCAUUAGCAAACCCUCCUUUAUAGGUACGACUCAUCAAGUAGUCUAUACUGAUCACUAGUAUUGUUUUACAUUUAUUAAAUCCUAAAUAUCCUACACGUGAUUUUUCACAAAUAUACGAGUCGUGAUUGAGUAUAGGGUAUUAAUGGUCGAACCCAAAGAGAAGAUUGUCAAUUACCGAUGAUUUUCGAAUUCUUUUAUUAUUUAGACUAUCAUAAAUGUACAAAAAUUAAAUCUACACUAUAAACAUGAGCUAAAGUAAAAAUAACAAUAGAAAACUUCCAGGGAUAUGGAAUUCCUUACUACUCUUGCAAGUGAAAUUACUGGUUAAGUUAAUGAUUUAUCUUGGUUAGUUAUGGCGUAAUUUCCUAAUGUAUGUGAAACCUACUUUUGUAAACAUGAGCUAAAAGUUAAAUCUACACUAUAAACAUGAGCUAAAAGUAAAAAUAACAAUAGAAAACUUUCAGAGAUAUGGAAUUCCUUACUACUCUUGCAAGUGAAAUUAUUGGUUAAGUGAAUGAUUUAUCUUGGUUAGUUAUGGCAUAAUUUCCUAAUGUAUGUGAAACCUACUUUUGUAGUGAAUCAACUAUACUUGUAACUAAACCAUACCUAAUCUUGUGGUAUGAAAUUAACUACAAGCUCUUUUUUUCUAUGAAAUUAUAUGAAACAAGUUACUAAAGUCACAAAGGUGCACCUCUACUCUCGUGAGUGUACUCCUAAGGUUUAUUACUUCCUUGAACUAGUGUUAAAUUUCAAUUCUCAUUGCAAGUUUAACACCAUAAAAUUAUCACAAUUAAUGGCUAGUUAAUCAUAAUUAGAUAAGAAAAAGUGAUAGAUAACUUACUCAAUAUAUAUUUGAUAUAGAAAGUUCAUCCAUAACUCUAGGCAUAAAAUUUAACUAAACAUGAAGAACAAGAUCCAAACUUGUAUUAUAACUAAUCAUGAAAUCAAAUAAAAAAGAGAAAAUGUUAGGAGAGAAGUCACCCUUGUCACAUGAGAUCCAUCUCUCCAUCUUUGCUCCUUAAUUCUUCAUUCAAAUCUAACUAUAAAUGCAAAAAGGAUAAACUACAUUAACUAUACUAAUCUACCCUAACUAAUGAACUAGGCAUACUCUAGUGAAAACUACAUUUUUGUGGAGUUUUUCUAGCCUUCCAAAGUUGUAAAAAUGUUCUCCAAGGCCUCUAUUUAUAGAGAAAUUCAAGCCACAAAUGAGUUGUUUCUAGUUGGCAAAUUUGGCUCUUGAAACUCUCAAAGAUUGCUUCUCAAAGUUUUCAUGUUCAUCUACUAAUUUCCAGCAAGAAUCUAUGUAGAAAAAGUGGUAAAAAAAGUUGUGUGAACAAAGCACAAGUUGCCAAACAAGUUGUAGCCAAAAUUAGAGAAUACGCGACCUUAGGUCACGUAUUGUACCCACAUUUUGCUCUUUUGCAGGUUUGCUCAUCUCUGGUUGUUCUUCACCCUUACUCUAUUUUUAUGCCAACUUUCACUGAUAUUUUCUCAAUAAUGGCAGCUGAACUAGCUCUUGUACAAAACAUGAAAGUUGUAGCCCUUUGAGUUAGCUUUCCGAUGCAUCAAGAAUCAUCCAAUUUGAAUCUCUGUAGACCGAUAAAUUAUUAAAAUACCCUCGACUGGUCAGAGCUCUAUUUCAGCUUUCGAUAACAAAAUUGCACUUCUGUAUUUCGAUAUUUUGACAAUGAAAACGACUAAACUGGAUGUCGACAUCUUCAUACCAAAUGUAAAUCUAUCUCUUACUUUCAAAAUGGUAUGAGAAUCACCUCAAUCCAAUGCUUGUAACUCAACAUAUAGUUGAAAUACCAUAAAGUGUCAAAGCUAGAAAACUUCCUUAGUUGCAUUUCAUCUCUUUCACUUCAUAUUAUCUUAAAAACCACUUCAAAUCAUCAAAAAUCAUCCAAUUAUGUUCUCAACUCACUCCAUUUGAUGAUUGAAUCAUUGAAUCUAUAAAAACAUGAAGUUUUCACCAUUAAAAUCCAUAGAAAUACAAUUUUUACCACUUAAACCAUAAAAUACAUAUUUUCACUACAAACUUAGUUCAUAAGCUAUAAAACUAAUUAAAACACACUAAAAAUAAUUAAUAAAACACAACCUGCACGCAAUACCGUGGUGCUAAAUAAAUUUUUUGUGAAGUAGGAGCACGUUCCAAAACCGUAGGGAAUCAAACUGUUGAAAUAAUUGAAAGAAAACUCAAGAAAAGAAAAUUCUUGCUGGGGAGAAAUCAAUGCAAGUAAAUAAUUGAUAAAAGGAAGGGGCUAAAUCCACACCCUUCCAUCCUAGAUCUACAUCCUAACAGGUAUCGAGCCUGUGCAAUAAUAAUCACUUACUCAAGAAAGAUACAAAUUUUAUAUAUAACGGUGAGUAGGGUCGAAUCCACAGGGUCUGCGAAUAAUUCGUUUCUUUCAGAGUCCGAAGUAUGGGGGAUUUUGGAGAAUAUAAAAUAACUAAUUAACUAACUAAUGAAACUACUAAUAGAAAUAAUCAGGAAUUAAUCAAUAGCCAAUACAACUCUAGCCAAAGGUGCAACUUUUCAGACACGGUCCAUUCAACUGAUCAUUGAUGCGAAGAUAAUUCAAUUACUCAUUACUAGAUUGGUUAUAGUUGUCAUUCACGCGAUAAACAACCAACCUUUCCUUACUUUUUCGAUAGCCAAGGUACGACCGUUAACUAUUUCUCUAACAAAAAAAUAACUCUAGGUACGACCGUAGGAUUUAAUUCCUCGAUUGCAUUAAGAAUUAGAAAAAUCCAAUCCUAACUAACAAACACGCUAUGAGGGUUUGUUUAAGUUAGAUCAUACAUUUCCCUAACAUGAAACCAAUCAUGCUAGUCGCCACUGGUAUUAAUCAAUAGAACAAUUACAGAUUCAAUCAAUUAAUAUGACAGUAGAUUAUUACAUUAAUUCAAAUAUCGGGCCCUUGACAUUCAAAUAACAAAACAAUCAUAAGCAAUUAAACCAGAAAACGUACGAAUACCAAUGAAUAAAAGAAAUAAGUAAAAUAAUUUGAUCUCACAGAUGUUUGAAACUAAGUCCUCAAAUUGACCUUCGAUUAGAAAAUAAGAAUUUAGUUCUUCAUUGUUGAGGAAAUUCCCAACGUGAUACUAUCAAAGCCGGCCAAGACCUACGGCUCAUCAGCCUCCAAAAAUAUAAAAACCUACGUGACUAGUCUUCUAACCGAAUAAGAAGAGAAAAGAAUAAGGCAACCACCUAUUGUUCCUUGUUUUCCGUUUGCUUAUUCUAGUAGAACUCCUAGUACAAGUCAACUACUAAUCAGCAAAAGGAAAGGAAAUCCGUUUGUAGCCCACUGUGGAGCUCGGCUUGUAGAUCUUUUAGAAACUUCCCACGUGUGGAGUAUUUUUCUCAAGAAGAUCCCCUUUUUUUUAGCACUUUUCUGCUCCACUCCCUGUAAUUAGGUCCAAAUACCAAAUAUAAGUAUAUGUUAACAAUUAAAACAAUAUUUGGCAAGAAUAAAAAGGAAAAUUAACAAUAAAAUUACUAACAAUUAACACCCUAUCAAUUCCUCCCACACCUAAAUCAUGGUUGUCCUCAAGCAUGAGAACAACAAAUCAAAAAAUCAAAUUCCAACAAUGGCUAUUAUUCAAAUAUUUUAUUGCCAAGAUACAAUUAAAAUAUAUGUCAAGUAUUAGUGGUAAUUUUCAAGGAAUAUCUCUCUAGUUAGUUUUAAAGAUCAAGGAUUCUUUCAAUUUAUGACUAACUAAUCUAAGAAUAUAAAAUAUUCAACCAACAUCCGUAAGCAAAUGGUUCGACUAUUAAGCAAAAUCUUAACAUUAAAAUUCAUGGAUCAGCGGGCUAACAAUUUAUUCAAACAUUUUCACACUUUUCACUAUUAGCACUUUUUUUUUUUCUAAAAUAUUUCCACACUUGAUUGAUUUUUAUUUUUUCAGGGGGAAUGCUUAGUUUUUAGCCAUUCAAGUGUUUUGACGCGAACUCCAACAUUGGCCACAUGAAGGAGCCCGGUUACUCAGCCAUCAUCACUUAAAAACCACAUACUCAUAGCUAUCGUCGCUUUUUGAUGCGAAAGUCGACACUUAUGGUGAAGACCUUCGGUUACUAAGCAACGAUACUAGCGGAGUAUAGCCGAAUAUUAUUCAUAAAUAAGCACCAAAUUAAAAUUAAAAAUCAAACAAACCCGCUUCAUUUCUUAAAUAUGGAGAACUAAGAUUAAUAGUUGAACCAAUUUGCAUAAAAAAAAUGCUGGAGAAAUAUUUACCAUACUUAGAGAAGUUAACCAAAAAACGCAAAAGUCACAAAAUCUCAAAUAUUCACCAAAAAGAUACUUUUAAACUUAACCAUGUCAUACUUAACACCAUAGAGUGUAAAAUAUUAGCAAUAAAAAGAUUUAAGACAUCUAACCAUUGUUUAUCAGGAACAAUCACAAAUAUGCAUAAGAUAGGUAAAAAUUGGAUAAAAUUUGACGAAGUCAAACAAAAAAUUCCAAUAAAAAAUGCCUACACUCGCACUUUUUCAAUAAAAUACCAAUAUACUACUCCCCCCACACCUAAAUCUUACAUUGCCCCCAAUGUAAGAGAUAAAGAAUAUAAUACGAAACAAAAGGGACAACGAAACUUCCCUGAGCACGUAAUGGAGGGUCUCGAGCAGCUAUGGCAUAGGUGAAAUUGGUCGGUUCUUCCUUUUAUCCUUUAUUUAAGUAGAACCAUGGGUUUUUUUUUUUUUGAAUAAAGGAACCCCUGUGUUAGGCGUGGGAACGCCUAACUGACUUCGAGUCUUCUGACCAACCAUCCGAAAUUAAGAUCCUUAAGCGUGACCACUUGGCGUGGGCACACCCAAUUACUAGAGAGUCUUCUGACCAAUUUUUGAAAAUUGAAUUCCUUAGGCAUGACCACUUGGCGUGGGAACACCUAACUACUAUAGAGUUUUCUGACCGCAGAUGAAAAUUGCCUUCCUUAAGCGUGACCAUCUAACGUGGGCACGUCUAACUAUUGGAGAGUCUUCUGACCGCAGAAAAAUACUUGCAUUCCUUAGGCGUGCCUACUAGAUGCGGGCACGCCCAACUACCAGCUUCCUGCCACAAAAGCAACAAAUCACUAAAUGCAACUAACACUUAACAAAAACUCCAGAAACAUAAAAAAACUAAAAUAAAGAGCCUUGGGUUGCCUCCCAAGCAGCGCCUUUCUUUAAUGUCUUUGGCUAGACAUUUUCAUCUUUAUUCACGGAGGAUAAAAUAUUGUGACUCGUUUCAAUACUUCAUCCUUUAUAUAAUCCUAAUAGCCCUCGUAAAUAGAGUCAUCCUUAAGCACACGAGCUACGGUCUUCAUGGACUAGUAGAUGACGCCAAACAAGUCAACAAGAAUUUUAAUUCUUCACUUACUCCUCCAUCACGAGCACUUAUUGGUUCGAAAUAGUAUAAGUUAGUAACUUUUGUUUUGCAAAGUAUCAAUAAAUUACCUGCAUAAUACUAUCCUUUGAAUUAUUUCCUAACAAUUAUGCUGCAUAAAGCAUCUUCCUAAAAAUGUUCAUAGUAAGGUACAUUGUGGCGACCCCACUUCCCCCUGAGGCGAACCAAAGGGUUGGCGGGCCGUCUGCCCAACUCUCACCAGGACUCACGUGAGCAAUCUAACCCGAAACCUUUCGAAAAAUAAACUAAUCUAUUACAAAACAACUUUUCCCAAAUAGAAUCAUACCUAAAGCCCCAUUAACUUCAGAGAUAACAAUGAUAAAAAUAACCAGUCGAGGCCCUUAAACGACCUACGAGCUACGUACCGAAGUAUAAGUCGUACCCAACCAGAUAGAUAAAUACAUAAAUCCCUAAUACAAGCUUACAAGCCAAGUAAUCGAAUUAGGGUUUACACAUUUUCCACCUUCAAGUGGCAACCCAAAAAGGAAAAUACAUUAUCCCAAAUAACACAUUACAGCCCACAGAAUAAGUUAUAGUAUUCAAUUACAGUCCAAAAGAAAAACAUAAGUAAGCAUCCCGUUUUCAGUUACCAGAACCUGUUAAGGAAAACAAUAAACGUGGGGUGAGCUAAAACUCAGUGGUGCCCCAAACAUGCAAUCACUUAAAUCAAACAACGAGUAAUAAUUUAAUCAAAUUGAACAGUUAGGAAAGCGUGUAACAGCACAAGGUAGGAUACAGGGGCUCUCAGGAGCCAUUUUCCACGCUUGAUCAGAUACCAUCGCAGUUGACCCUCCGUCAACUUUCACUACUUAUAGUCCAUGUAGAUCCACUUAUUUUAAUCCUAACCCGUCACCAUUCAUACCCCUGUCCCGGGCCCGCUCACCGACUAAGGACGUAGUAUCCUCGAGAUAUACCCGUCACAGUAGUUGGAUACAGAAGUCGAGGGAUUCACCCAACGACGCAACUACAUUUUAGAUUUAUGGUAGUUGGAUACAAAAGCCGAGAGAUUCACCCAACGACGCAACUACAUUUUAGAUUUAUGGUAGUUGGAUACAGAAGCCGAGGGAUUCACCCAACGACGCAACUACAUUUAGAUUUAUGGUAGUUGGAUACAGAAGCCGAGGGAUUCACCCAACGACGCAACUACAUUUAGAUUUAUGGAUUCAGGAGAAAAUGUUUUUUGCACAAGUCACCACUCGAACGGCUAGUGCGAUAAAGUACACACAGCUCACUUCGAUGGAUCAGAAACCAAUUUUUCAAAUUAUCACAUAUCAAGUCAAGAAGGUACUUUAAGCAGGUAAGCAUAGAACAGGCAGGGACACUCACCCAAAAGUGAAGUUCAGAGUUCAAGCUGGGAUUCAAAAUUCCACGUCCUCGCUAUACCCUAGAAAUCCAGAAUUUAAAACUAUAAGUGUUGUUGUACGGUUCUUGGUUUAUAAAUACAAAGUUAUCUGGUAUAUAACUAGUUUAUCUACUCCAAAUAAAUUAACAAUUUCCCUAGAGUUAAACUAGUGAAAGUGAUGAAAUACUUCAUAGGAUUUCUUUCUUUCUAGAGGUGCAAACCAGAACCAAUUUGCUUUGAAUAAGAUUUCUUGCCAAACAAGUUUUCUGCGCCUUUUAUUUAAAAUUAUUAAAAUCAAGUUUGACCUUUAAAGUACAAAUAUAACACUUUCAAUUUCUAUUCAAGUUCCAGGUUUAUAACUAUAAAGGUUUAUCGAGUAUAUAACUAGUUUAUCGUUUCGAAGUAAAUUCAAAGAUCUACUUAAGUUGAAACUUGGCAAAAGUAGAAGAAAUGUUUUUAUAGUUUUCUUUAAGAUACUUUUCCUUAUAAAAGGUAACUAGUAUUAUUUUCUUGAAAUAAGUCGACACACCUCUUAAUAUCAAUGUUAGAAAGUUACUUUGAACAUUCCUCUAAAGUUACGGAUUUUGCAGAAAUUAUCCUUAAAAACUAUUUUUCCUAAAAUAGGGUUUCUUGCCGAGCAAGUUUCCCAAGCUUUUCACUAAAAUUAGUAAAACUCGUAUUUUGGAACUUUUCCUAUAGUUAACUAUCCAAGUGCAAAGCUUAAGGAAAGAAAAGGAAUUAAAAUAAGACUUAGAGUUUUCAAAAGCUAUAGAACUUAUUUAUUAUAGCUAUCAAGGCUAGUUUGAGCUAAAGGAAAUUAUCGAGUUGGAAAGUUUUAGGCAAAACACUAGAUAUGGAGUUUUAUAAUAUAAUACUAGCUGGAAAAAUAUUUUUUGAUUAAUUUGAUCACAGUUACUCGAGUUCGCAAGGUCGAUACAACUUCCACAGCUCCGAUUCCGUUUCGAAAUCAUAAUAUGGAUCAAAAUAUGGCAAAAAUCACAUAUCAAAUUACUAGGGCUUCGUCAAUCAUUAGCCCUAGAUUUCAACAAGUGCAUUUCUGAAUAAAAUAAAAUGAUCAACCAAGGCUUCAUCAAUCAUUAGCACUUGGUUUCAGCAAGCCCAUCAUAAGCAAAUAAAAAUAAAAGUAAGGCCUCCAAGACAUUCCAGUAAUUAACUUUCAUCAUCCAGUAGUACUUAUAAAGUCAUUCAAAUGGCCAAGGGUUUCAUCAAUCAUUAGCUCUUGACAACCAAUACACACUUUCAAAUACCAAUUCAUUCAAAACAAGAACAAAAACUACAACCAACUUGAGAUCCAAAUGAUUCCAAGAAUCUAAAAUAUCCAUUAAACUUUCCACUUUUAUUUGCUAGAAUCACUAUACAUAUAGAUUAUAAUCUGUCCAAACCAAGCUAAAGCAAAUAAUACACAAAUCCAGCAAAUAAACUCACCAAAAGUCCCAACCAGUUCGGUCAUGCUGGAAAAAUAUUUUCCUUCAAAAAUUGCUUUAGUUCAUGUUCCACAAAUCAAAACAAUUAUGAAAGUUAUACUGUUGUAGAAUAGAUUUUUAAAUACUAUCACAUCCCAGAAGACACUUUUCAGAGAUUCAAAUUACAAAUGGCCAAAUAUUCUAUCCAAGUCAAGAAUUCUGUUUCCUGAGGAAACAGGACAUUCAAACAGGACAGCCUACUUUGAGGAAUCACGGACAACAGUACAAAUGGAGGAAAAAUAUGAAAUUUCUACAAAACAAAGGCCCAUGACUCUAGUUUCAAAUGCCACUGACGGCACCUCAAUCGGAUUUUCCUACACCAAGAUAUAAGCAUUUUACUGAGACUGGUCAGAGAAAUCCGAAAAUCUGGAAACUCAUUUUUCACUUGUGAAAAACUCCUUUUCCUCUUUGAAAACCAUAAGACUCUUAUUCAAACCAUCAUACAUUUAAGUAUGACAUUCAUACCAGCAUAUAUCAAAGCAAAUAACGCUUAAUUCCCAUAAAUUAUUCCACCAAAAAGUCCCCAUAAAUCUGUCAUCAGCUAAGAUAAAAUUUGCCAGCAAUUGAUAGUUUAUUUAUAUCGCUUUUGUUCCUAGUUUUCUUCAAUUCUUACCUCAGCUCAACAUGCAACAGGUGAUUAGCAAGCCUCAAGCAAAUCUUAAACAUCCAAUACGAAAAUCUGAAUUGAAAUUCGAAAACAAAACUAGUUAAAUGCUCACUUCCUUCUCUCGACCAAGCUGGAAUAUUUUGCAGCAGAAAAUUUCCCUCGGUUUCAAUCCACAAUUCAACUUUUCCUCAGAUUUUCUUCCAUUAAGCUUCACUUAAUACUUAAAGCUAACAAUCUAUAUGCAAUUCAUAACAAAAUUUUCCACUUGACAGCAAUUACAAAUGCAAACAAACAUGAAGUCUCUCGGCUAUUCCAGAAAAUUUCCAGCAGCUAAGUUAGACGCAAAUCUGGAUUUUCUUCAGCUGAAACCUUGUAUUAAGUACUCAAAACCAACAUGCAUGACUAAUUAAUGGAAUUACUAUCAGCUCUGGUUUAAAUCAAGUUCGGACAGCAACUACUAUCAUCCACAAUUCCAGAAUUUUCCAACAAGUCUCGGAUGAAACAUGCAUGUAGCAGAUUCGGUUUCUUUUUAUUUUAUUUCUCUUGCUUAGCCGGUCUGAUAAUUUCAUGCAAAGCUUAACCUUCUGAUUUUAAUUAGUCAAGCACCUACCCAAGUGAAAGUCAACCAUUUUCCAGCAAAUUUCCAGAAACAAGCUGCAAUUCCAGCUUCAAACUUUCGACAGCUUUAAUUCUUUUCCAAAUCAGAUUUCUUAAGUCACAAAUCCUCAUCUAACCUCACAAGCACCACAUGCAAGUCCAUAGCUGACCUCACUUGCCUAUAACCAACUAAUUUCAGCUCAGAAGUUACCUCAAAUGGAGCUCACACACACGGUUAGCAGCAGAAAUAAUCCUCCUCCCUUCGGCAGCCCAAAAAUGCAGACCACUAGCUCUCUCUCUCCCUUGCUCUGGGUGGCGGCUGGAAUGGAGAAAGUUCAGCCCUCAGUCCCUUCACCAGCUCACGGUUAGAAGGACGAUGCUCAGCUAGACUCUCUCCUCUCUCUCUAGUUUGCGGACAGAAAGGAGCAAAAGAAAUUAAACAGCUCGGUUCUUGCUCCUGUCGAUGAUACCGAGACAAGGAGUGAUGUGAAUUGAAAUGGUAUUAUGAAGUGUUGGAGUUGCCGAAAUGAGAAGCUAAGCCGUGGAUGAGGAAUUGCAGUGGUUUCGGUGGAGUUGUGCAGAGGAAAUGAGAUUUGGUGAAGAGUGGUAUCUCGGUAUCAAGAAAGAAAUGGUUUGCGGUUUGCUUGUGCCGAGAAGAAAUUGGAAUUGCGGUUUUAGAUUGUGAAAUAGCAUGUGAAAUAGAGCAAAUGGUAUUGUGGUGCCGUGGUUUACGAGAAAGGAUUGCGUAUAAGAAUUGGUUGCGUAUCGAAUUGGUAAUAGCUGCGGUGAUUGGACUUGCGGUCAGAAGUCUUGUUUGGUUUGCAUGGAAUUGUAAGGGUAUUUUAGUCUUUUUACUUUGCUUCCUAACCUCAACUUAAUUUCUCAAUUCCGACUUAAUUCUAAAAAUUAUCCCCAAGUGUGAUUUGAACGUCUAAUCAUAUCCUAAUAUACCUAAACCAUUUUUAUCGAAUAAUAAUCGAUUAAACUUGAAUAUUAAGGUUCCUAGUAAUUCUUAUAUUAUUUAGCGAUUGAAUUAGUUAUUAGAAUUUCCAAUUAUUAUAUCUCAAGAAUUAGAGUUAAUCUAACUCGAAAUUUAUCGUUUUAGUAAUAUAAAGUCAAGUGAAACAAUAAUUUAAUCCAAGGGCGUCAGUUUGCACAUAAAAAUUAUUUUUACGCACUUAUUGUGAAAACAAAGAAGGAUAAGACUAUAAUUAUCGAAAUUUUCACGCCUUAAGUAUGUUUAGUAUAUUAGUAUCAAAUUUAUCUAAAAUUCAUUGGUUUUCAUCUUAACGCGGAAAUUCCUAUUAACAUUUAACAUUAUUAACGAUUAAAACUAAUUAUCGGAAAUCAAAGAAUUUAUUUUAAAGUAAUAGAAUUAAUCCAACUCAAGAAAUAUUAAUUUAGUAUAGCAAAACUGAAUCAUUCAAUAUUGGCACAAUUAUAUUAUUUAUUACAUAGAAAUUAUCUUUACACUUUUAUUUCAAAACAAUUAAUUACAAUACUAGAAUUCAAAGAAAUUAAUUAUUAGAUCAAUGAAAUAGUUUACCAUUGAAAUAUGAAGUUAAUGUAACAAAACUAAGAAGUUUAGUAGUUUAGCACAAUUCUUUUAUUUUGCACCUAACGUUUAUUUCUACGUACUUAUUUAAAAACAAUUGGACUUAGUGCUAAAAUUUAUUAAAGAAUUAAAAUGCAAAUAAAAUAUGCACUGAUAUUUAUAUGUCUAUUUUCAGGGUUCUCACAUCCUCCCCUCCUUAAAAUGAAUUUUGUCCUCAAAAUUCUUACUUUCUCAAGAAAUAGGUCGGGGUACUUUUUUGCAUCUCUUUUUCUAGUUCCCAAGAUUAGUUCGGUCAUUUCGUUUUAGAUCAUUUAUUUGCUACAAGGCCAUAUUCUUAUUGUCUCACGCGUUGACUAAAAAUUUCGUUGGUUCUAAUUUAUGUGUACCUCGAAAAUUUUUUGCUUAUAUCAAUUUAGUAGGUUUCCACCCGUUUGGCUUUAAGAAGAAUUAAUUAGUCAUGUAAUUUAUUCAACUAUAUAAUGUAUUCAAAUUGCUCAAAUUACAAUAUACAUAUCGUGUAUAUUUGAUUCAUAUAUAUAUGUUGCACUAUUCUAGAAUAUUUCUAAUAGCAAAGUAACUAAAAUAAAGGAUAUUCAUAGUGUACAUACAAUUCGUAGCGUACAUAUAAUUCAUAGCGGAAGAUCUCAAACUCCAAAAGUGCUAUUCUAGUUUAGGGUAACUAUAACCUCUAUUCCUCGAGUGAGGUCAAACCCUCUUGAUUUGUGAAACAUUCACUACUAGGACACCGUUCAUGGUCAUUAACACGAAUUACUUUCAUCUGGCACAUGGUCGAUCUGUAGCGGACUUAGUUAUCUGCUGAGUACUUUCUCUUUGUAAAUGCUCUAGGGCAUUCCGAAAUCUUGUGCUUGGUACUACCGCACCUCAAGCACUUUCCUCCCUUUUUCCAGCAUUCCUUCUCGGUAUGACCAGCUUUCCUACAAUACCCACAUUUUGCAUGAGUGGUGGCGGCCUGAACAUUUCGGGGAUUUUUCUUAUGUUUCUUCUCCGGUUCUACGUUCUGGCGUAGCAGCUCAAUUUUCUCUGCAUAUUCUUGUUUCCAUCGUCCUUCCCAGUAAUCAGCCAAUUUCUUUUGAAAUUCUACCUCACUUCGGAGAAUGUCCAUUUCCUUACGCAUGUCUUCCAAAGUUGUCAUCUUACUAGUUGGCUUAAAUCAAUUAGCUAGCCUGCCAGACAAAUCACAGGAUCGAAGUAAGCAACUAUUCAUACUGGAAGCUUGAGCCGUACUACUCUUUCAUCCUUUUACUGAUGGUUACUCCAAAAUAUAAACCUUACUACUUCCUGCUUAAUCCAGCGAGUGCUUAAGUGUCACCGAGAUUACCAUCGUUAAUCACCAUCACGAUAGAAUAAGGAAGCCUUAUCCCAAAAAAAAAUUUCAUGUCUUAGUGCACUAUUCAAUACUUACCUUCAACAUUGUUUAAAACAACAAUCAUACUGCUGAUUCUCACUAGAGCCUUGUUGUAUUCCUUCGAUUCAGUCUUAUUAUUUUGAGGUCAGAUUUCCCCAUGAAACCUAGAUAGACGAAUUUCAAGAGUCACUCCAUUUUCGCAACUCUUUUGGUUCCUAGGUUAGCUGAUUGGCCUAAAGCUUUUGGUACUCCACCAACCGUUCUAAGGUAUCAGUCAUAUGGUCAAUAGGGGUAGCUACGUGGGUGGGUUCCUUCUACAUUCCCAUUGAUAGCACCUUUGUCGAAGUCUGUCUACCAUUAGCUCCUGAAACAAUUAUACAUCAUUAAAGGCUCAACUUUCAAAAUUUUACGUACCUUUCGUGACUAAUAACCGGAUAUUAACUACAUAUUUGGAAAAAUUGUGGUCUAUAUACAUAUAUAAAUAAAAUGGUUAUUCGAAUGGAGGACGAGAAGAAAAGAAAUUGGUUCUGAUCUUGAUAGUCAAAAUUUCACACUUUUACUCAUAGAGAUUUCCGGUUAUUCUUUCCGUAUUUUAUCUUCCAUUUCCACAUCACUUCGUCUAAUCAUUCAUGUUUGCCACGAAACCUUAACUAAAGGAAUUUGUCUUAGUGUUUUCUCCGUAAUUUAAGUGUCGAAUCGACUGCUUCCCAAAGUAUAUAAAAGUUCAACUACUUGAAUUUACAAUUUAUCUGCGCGUCAUACUUAAUUAAAAAUUUUCACCCAAGAUAGCAUUAUCAAUCUGACAUUAUCGCUCCCUAAGCUCUAUAUUUCUCACAACAAGUUGAUUUAAAAUAAGUAAUAACCAAUUAUGCAUACAUACGAUUGCGGUUAAUUUCACUCCAUAUAUAUCAUUAAUACCAAGCAAAUUCAUGAUCAAUUUAAUUACAUCACAAAACAAAGUCAAUUACAACAUAUAUCAAGCUCAAGUACACUCUAAUCAGAAAUCAAACAAAUCUCUUUUUUAAGUGCAUUCAAUAUCCAAACAUGGCAAAGUUCCGACUCCAACAUCCCAUCCUAUUGAUUUCUAUCCGUAAUAGAGUUGGUAAAUCCUUGAAAUUCCUACCUUUAUUCACAAAAGUUCAGUUUAUUUCUUUUUUUUUUUUCAUUCACUGGAUCUAUCAAGUCAUUACUUCAACGUUGGUCUAACCUUUCUUCUAAAGGUAUGAGCUGAUAAAUAGAUCGAGUUUACUAACUUUUAAAUUUUAUUCAUGUUCUUACCCUUUCCUAAUUCUGGUUAUUACUAAUGGUUACAUCAACAACUUGUAUACAUGAUACGAUAACUAUUUCUUUAACUCAUAAACUGCUACGAUUUACCAAGACAUGAUUGCCCUAAUAAUCACCACCUACUCCAUAUAUUAUUAUUAUUUUUUUCUUAAUCUCAUAGUUCUAUACACCACUUUGGUUACCAAAAUUUCACUCAGGUUAGUAAUUAUUUAAUUUCCGGGACUAAUAAUUAUUACAGCGUUUACAAAAAUUAAACACGUAAUCAUCAAAUUAUAUACUCACAAUAUAAGUCACAUUGCAUACCAAAUUCAUACAACUUCAAAAACUAGAUAAGUCAUGUAUACAUUCAACAUUUUCAUACAUAACUCAACUUCAAUCUUUAUAAGCAUGAAAGGAAAUAAUACAACAAUAUACAAAUUAUUAUAACCAUAUAGCUAAUAGCCUAACCCUUAGUUUAGAUUCAACUUAACCUUCAUUAGUUUAGUCCUGGACAAUCCCACUAGACCCCCUUAGUAACACUAAUCAAAUUUCCUUAGUAAAAUGUAGAUCUACUACGUCUAAUAUUAAAUCAAAUAAUAUGCUCAUUACUUAAGUACAUCAUUGACUCUUAAGUGUUCUAAAUGAUCUCAAACAUUUCAUACAUUGGCUUUUCUAAUAUCCUAACAACUAGUUAUCUUUAUCCUGUCGAACAGUAGCCCCAAUAAUCCUCCAAUAAAACUUAAAGACCACAAUGUCAUCUAGAACUCACCUCUAGUUAUUUGCAAAUGGUAGCAUACUAACCACAUGAUAAAUUCAUCAAACUUAUCCUUUCCCCAGGUCUAAAGCCACUCACAACUGCAUAGCUCUUACUUGAACUACCAUUUCACUCAGAUUCUAGAUCUAAAGCCACAUUUUGGAUAAGGGAUGGUAUAAAGUUCAUUUACUAUCAUAAAGGCUAGUAAGGCCACCAAUAAAGCUUUUUCACUUUUAACUUCCAAAAGCUAACAUUGGUCUCUUUAAUUCCUUUCCAAACUUAAUCAUGGUUUCUAGUCACAUCAUAAUAUGAUAUACUGAAUUCUUUUCAAUUGCAAAUACUCCAUUAAAUGUAAUAUUUAGUACUCGGGUACAAGAAUCCGAAAAUAAGAUAAUUCACAACUCAGGCUGGCCAGUCCCAUGCAUGAAUCACCUACAUUUGAGAUUCCUACCCAACAUACAUAUCUAAUAUCCCCAACUAUAGACUUUUGUUCCACACUUAACAAGCCAAUCCCCACAGUCCGAGAACCUUUUCCCGGUUUGAGCUCGAUAAGAGCUCUGAUACCACCUGUGGCAACCCCACUUCCCCCUGAGGCGAACCAAAGGGUUGGCGGGCCGUCUGCCCAACUCUCGCCAGGACUCACGUGAGCAAUCUAACCCGAAACCUUUCGAAAAAUAAACUAAUCUAUUACAAAACAACUUUUCCCAAAUAGAAUCAUACCUAAAGCCCCAUUAACUUAAGAGAUAACAAUGAUAAAAAUAACCAGUCGAGGCCCUUAAACGACCUACGACCUACGUACCGAAGUAUAAGUCGUACCCAACCAGAUAGAUAAAUACAUAAAUCCCUAAUACAAGCUUACAAGCCAAGUAAUCGAAUUAGGGUUUACACAUUUUCCACCUUCAAGUGGCAACCCAAAAAGGAAAAUACAUUAUCCCAAAUAACACAUUACAGCCCACAGUGUGAGGACUCGCAAAAACUAUUAUUUUAUGCCUAAUUUAUGGCUUAAUAAAUUAUUUAAUUGGAUUUUAUUUCCAAGAAAUAUUUUCUAGUCUUAUUAGACCUAAAUAAGUGGUAGUAUAUCUUCGUUAUAUUUUAAAAUGAUUCAUUUCGAAAAUUAAUUUCCUAGAGCGCGUUUAGUAAAAAUAGUGAAUAGUACUUGGAGAUUUUAUCCGCGUAGUAGCCCAAUAAGCUUGGAAUAUUGGGGCUUGUACUAUGGUCCUAAAAUAGGUAAUCUUAUGAAUAAAUAUUCAAGUGAUAGUUAGUAGUGCAAUCGUUAUAGGAAUUUUCGAAAGUUCCGCGUUAUAGCGGUAAAAUUUGACGGUACGCGUUUUCACACGCGCGACUUCAAUUGAAGGACUUUAGACCCUUAUUUCGGGACAAUUAAGAGUGAAUAAUAUUUACAAGAAUAUAUAUGCCUUGGAGGUUUAGUGCACUAGUGAACCAAACGCGCGAGAAAAUCGAGUCCAAACGCACCCUAAAUUGCACUAUUUCAAGUUGACUUUGAGGUGCAUUUUGCACCACACAAAGAAUCUUCCUUUGGAAGCCAAUUGCAUCAGCACUCUCUCUCUCCUCACCUCACUUGGCCGAGCAACAAGAAAGGAGAAGAACUCUCCAUUGUUCUUCAUUUUUCAUCUUCAAUCCAUGCACUAAAAUCCACCCAAAUCACACCAAACUUGGAGAUCUCUUAGCAAACCACUUGGAGACUACAUCUAGCUAAGGAGGAAGGGAGCUUUCAUGGUUUCUUUGGAGCUUCAAGAGGGCCGAAAAUUCUGACCUUGCAAACCAAAGGAGUAGGUAAUGAUCAACCCUUGGAUUCUUAUCUUUUGGAGAUUAUAUGACAAGAUUAAGCUCAUGCAUGCACUUAGUUACUUGAUUAUGGUGUAAAAAUGUGAUUGUGGGCUCUUGGAAUUCCCACACUUGGGUUGUUGUUGCUGAUGUGAUGAUUGAUGGUGAUUAUAUUGUUGGUUUAGUGAUAUUAAUGAUGCAUUAGUGGUGGGUAAUUAGUAGGAACUUCAUUGGGUGUAAGAAGCUAAAAUUUCCAAUUUUGCCCCUGCCAUGUUCGGCCAUUUCCAGGCCAAUUUUUAAUGGUUUAAUUGCUUGAAUUGGAUGUUUGUAGGAUGUAUUAGAUGUGUGAAAAAUUUCAUUGAAAAAUAAUGAGGUUUGAAUGGGCAAAUGAAUUUUUUUUAGAAACCAGCAAAUCUGGAAAACUGAUUCGCGUAUGCUCUGACCAGCAGUAGUAUUUUGGCUAUAACUCUGUCCUCGGAUGUCGAAAUCAUGUGCCGUCGGUGGCGUUUGAAACUAGACAUUCCUAGCUUUAAUUUGGUAUAUAAUACACGUUCUGAUUCUUUGUGAGCAAGCCGAACCAAAUGUUUUAAGUUCGCUGUCCUGUUACUCUGUUCUUCUGGAAUGAAGUGUUCAGGCAGCAACUUGAUGCCCGAAUUUGAACCAGAUGGGUGCCGAAUUUGGAAACGAUUUCUUCUGUGAUAUUUUAACUCUAUGAAUGCAUUUUCCAACGGCGUAAGCCAUGCUCGAUUUCGAGCUAUAAUGACUGAGUUGUGACUGAAACAAGUGGACUGCUCUGUUUUGGAAAACCCUAAUCUUUGGACUGGUUUGGAACAAAAUCUUGGAGUGAACUUGUUAGUUGAUGUUUUUGAUAUUAAACACUUACCAAAGGUAUCAUGGGUAUAUCUUAGACCCUUAUUUCACAAAUGAACCAUGGUUGGAUAACUUUCUUGGUUAAACGAUUGGAAUUUUGGAAAAUGAAAGUCAAAGGCAGUUUGCCUUAGGAUUUUUCUUGAACUUUGGUUGGCUAAAUUAACGACCUUGCCGAAGGUAUUUUUCCCCGAAAUUCGAUAGAGAGAUACCUUCCAUAUAGUAUUGAAACACUGCCAAUUUUGGUGCCGAUUCAAGUUCGUUUCGAUACCCAAUUGAAUUACUAAAGUUAGAGGUUCAAAUCUGGAAAAUUCUCAUCCAGUCUUGAAUUUGCUCAACUUCGGGCUACCGUAUCUCGGUGCUCGAAACUCCGAUUUUUGAUCCGCUUGUUUUUUCCUACACUUCACUUGCAACACUAAUUGAGCUGAAAAUUUCAGAGGCCGGUUUACAACGUGCGAAUCGUGCCGAAUUUUCAAAGUUGGCCAAAAUCCAACUUCAUUCUGCCUUGUGAACCAACCCUGCAUCUUCAAGCUCAUUUUUGACCACUUUUCACUUUGAUUCAUGGAAAAGUGUCUUCUAGGAACUUAUAGUACACUCUAAGAGGUUUCCAACGGUAUAAAGUUUUCCAAUUCUCGACUUAUAUCGAGCGAGUUACGAUUUUUCAAAGAUUUAUCGUAAAACUGAAAAAUUUUCCAACUUCAAAGAAAUAGAGUUUUUCAAGAACUCUUUAUUUUUUUUCGAUAUUCUUAAACGUUUUGCUUACGAUUUUCAAGAUAAAAACUCAAAUAAUAUUGUACCUAAUAAAAGGCAAGUCGAACCUCGAUUUACGUGAAAUUGAGGUUCCUUUUUGCAAAUAAUUCUUAGAUUGUACUAGUGUACAAUCUUUCUUGAUAAGUGGGUUAAUUGUGUGAUUAUCCACUAUUAAAUUGCCAGGCGCGCAAGGAGACCUUCAAGAGGAUCUCACCGUGGACACUUGAACUUCCGAAAAAUAAUUCUUAUUGAAUUGCUCGGUGAGUGUCAAGUGUGUGAACUUUGAUACUUGCUUAAUUGUGGUAUUUGUUGAAAGUUUUAAAAAUAAGGGCGGGUACGUACUUUAUCGCACUCGUUCUACUUUCAAAUGAAUGAAUGAAAUGUAUUGAAUGAAUGAAUGAAAUGCAAUGUUAUGUCAUGAAUGCUUGUGUCGUUGGAGUGAACCUCCUCGACCUUCCAAUGAAUGGGGGACGCCCAAACUCAUAGGCCGUCCUUAGACUCGAGCCAGCAAUGGGCUUGGUCGGGGAUUUGGACGAGCCAUGAGAUACACAUAAGCUCGACCUAAUAAGAGGUCUUGCUUGGCAUACUCGUCGAGUAUCGCCCUAAAAAUAGACUUGUGGGCCCUUGGGGUGUACGGUGGACGGAGGGAAGUAAGUGGUGAUCUACGGAAAUGGAAAUACCGACCCGGUUGACAGGAGGGUCAAUGCGGGAAGGUAUACGAAUGACAACGGCAGAUCGAGUGGAACUUAGCUCCUGAGAGCUACUAUAUCCUUGAAUUGUUUCUGAUUACUUUUCCUGUUUGAUUGAUUGAUUAUUGAAAAGACAUGGCUUUAUUUAUUAAAUCUGGGAUUGUUAUUUGACUAAGUGCUUGCAUGUGUGUUCUUGGCCUCACGAGCGUUUAGCUCACCCUAUAGUUUUGUUUUCCUUAACAGGACCGACUCUUGGAGAAAUAUGGAGAAACCAUCCGUUGUAAUUUUGUUAAGACUCCUGUUAUAUAUUUUGACUAGGCCCUGGUUUGGGUUGUACUUUUGGAAAUUGUAAACUUGAAAAGUUUGGGCCCUGAUGUGUACUUUGAAUUUAAGUCGUUUCAUGAUUACCCGAUGUACUGGUUAUACAUUAAGUGACUUAUUAAGCUUGAACGCUUCCGCAUUAUUGUAUUCAUGUUGCUCUCAUCGAAGUGCUUAAUUCGGUUUUAAAUUGAAUGGAAUUGCUUGAGUCCUGGCGAGAGCUGGGCAGGCGUCCGCGGAUACCCUUUGGUCCGCCUUAGGGAGAUGUGGGGCGUCACAGUUGGUAUCAGAGCUUAGGCUUCAGAUCUCUGUAGCGUAUCCUAGGCUUAAAGUUUAGGAUGCUUGACUGUGGGAUUAAUUUGGAUAUUAUGUGAACAAGGAUCUAUUGUAUCUUAGGGGUUAAAGAAAUUGAUUAUUUGGGAGUUCUUAUUUGGGACUUGCAGAAGAAACUGAGGAAUUAGGUGAUGUUAUAUUGAAGGAAGAUAUGGGAUGAGAGAUUUGAAGUGAAAGAUUGGAUGAUUUUGAACCAAGAUAAAAGUACAAAGGAAUAAAAUGCAUUUUCCGCCCACAUAUCUUCUAAAGAAAUUCUGCUUUGAAAAUUUAAAGAAAAACUAGGAUGUACUAGUUUUAUUUGUAAGCGAUGAGUGGAAAUAAGAUAUAUAUGCUUUAAAUAUGGGUAAUUUUCCGAUUUUGGUAAAAAGGUGAGUUUUACUUGAAUUUCAAAUUUGAAAAUUUGUGAAUAACUAAUGAGUUGUUGAACUUUGUAUAUGAUGGGUUAAUACAAGAUUUACAUUUUCUAAACUAAGUUUUCCCCCUUGAUUGUAUAUUGGUGUAAUCUCACACUUAAAUUUGUCCAUGCUUUACACGAAGAAAAAUAUAUAUAUAUAUCCUGAGUUUUCGAAAGAAUGGCAAGCUUAUGUUUAAUAAUGUGAAUCCUGAACUUGAUAAGAUUUCUGAUUACUUGAAAUACUCUUCUUAUGUUUUAAAAUUCUUGACUUUCAAGAAGAGUGAGCCAAUUUUAAAUGUACGGACUGAGGCAACUUUGAGAUAUAGAGCAACUGCAUUCAAGAGUACAAGUUAGUGUGAAUUGAUUUGGUUUCCAUUUGACACGUAACGUAGCAAGUUGUACUUAUUCUUGGGUUUGAACUUGGAGCUUGAAACUUUAAUUACAAAACCCUAAGACUGGUUAUUUUUGGAGAUGAUGGUGUUCCGACUGGUGGCUGGUUAUUAAAGAUUUUGAACUCCGAAUGGAUAAUCUUGGUUUUAGCUUGCGUUAUGGCUUUAUUGGAUCUAAUUUCGUAAAGGCGUGUGAUCUGAUUGAAAUUAGUGAUGUCUGGACCCCUUUGGUUUAACUAUGGACUUAGAAAGGGGUAGUGCACGCUGUGAGGCCUUUUGUAUCCUGCUUGUAUGUACUUCUAUAUUUUUGUGGCACUUAAUUGCCUUUGUGCAAUAUUGGACAUCUUGGUCUUGUUUUGUAACUUCUAACCGUGCUAUAACUUUUGAUACAUGUAAUGAAUCAUGACCUGAUUUUAAAUGUUUUUGCAACUUGUAUACGCGUUACGCUCUUUAUGCUUAGUUAUGCCUUUUCCUGUGCUUAUAGACUUUUCUUAAGUAGGGUAGCAGGAACGAGAAAAGGGGACCGUGACCGAGGGCUUAGACAACCCUGUACUUGUGAGACAAAUUGAUAGACAGUUUCAUAUAAUUUAAUAGGUCCCUAGUACCGAAUAUGAAUCGAACAUAAACCCGAAGAUCCGAUCUACUAGUGUAUAAUGGAUUAACCUAGCUAGAAACUUGGUGAGCUUUUCUUGUGCGCAACAUAUGUUAUGAUUGGUUCUGUGCCAGUAUUUCAAUCUUAGGAAGUUUGAACUCCGAAAGUAUUGCAGUGGGUUGGUAAGAGAACUCGAACUGUCUGAAACCGAUUAGACUGAGCUUACUUGAGACUUGAACCUGUUUAGGCUAGUGUGCUCUUGCGUAUCCUCAAUGGACCUAAUUUGACUGAAUAUAUGGAAUGUGGACUUGAAUUUUGUGACUGUUUAAGAAUGUGAAUUGCUGGACAGAGGUUAGGCCAGGGUGUUCUUACUCGUACUCAUGACCCUUGAAUUUGAACUUGAACUUGCACUUGAACUUGAACUUAUACUUUUGUUCGUACUCAUGCACCAUGAACCUGAAGUAUUUGGCUCUGCUUUGACCCUACUCUUGAACUUAUUCGUACUGGUGUGGUUGUAGACCGGCUACUACUCUUCUGUAGUGGUUGAACUGAACCUCUCUGGUGGGGCAUUGCUUGUUGUGUUGUCCAGCACCACCAGGGAUGAACUUUUGAUUUGAAGCUUCGCUAUAUCCUGAAUUUCUUCCAAAUGUCUGGGACUUUACGUCCGACUUCAAGCCUUUUGCCUGUUUUAUCUGAUUACGCGAUUAAUUCCCUAUUGGACCAUGACUAUUUGAUAGGUUGGAUUGGUGUGAUAUGUAGUACUUGAACCUGAUAAGUGAUUAUUAAAUAAGCCAUGCUUUGCUGGAUGUAAGGGGUAAGUUAGCCUCGUCUGCACUUAUUUCGGGAAUUCGGGAUAGAAAGUUGUUAAGUAAAGGAGCUCAAGGGUAUUUGGCUUUUCUUAUUAAUACCCCUAGCGAUAAGGUGAAUCUGGAGGACACACCGGUAGUAAAGGAAUUUUCUGAUGUUUUUCCUGAAAAAUUGGAGUCUCUACCCCCGGAACGGGAAAUAACUUUUAAAAUUGAUUUAGCUCCGGGAACAGCACCUAUAUCAAGGACACCAUACAGGAUGGCUCCAGCUGAGUUGAAGGAGUUGAAGUUACAAUUACAGGAUUUGUUGGAACGGGGUUUUAUUCGAGAGAGUGAUUCCCCGUGGGGAGCCCCAGUUUUGUUUGUAAAGAAGAAAGAUGGGAGUUUGAGGUUAUGUAUAGAUUAUCGAGGCUUAAAUGAUGCUACGGUUAAGAAUAAAUACCCACUACCCCACAUUGAUGAACUGUUUGACCAACUGCAAGAGGCGGUAGUAUUUUCAAAGUUGGAUCUAAGGCAAGGUUACUAUCAAUUGAGGAUUUUGGAGAAGGACAUACCUAAGACUGCUUUUAACUCGAGGUAUGGGCACUUCGAGUUUGCAGUAAUGCCUUUUGGGUUAACCAAUGCACCUGCCGCUUUCAUGGAUUUAAUGCAUAGGGUUUUUAAGCCUUACUUGGAUCAAUUUGUGGUGAUCUUCAUUGAUGACAUUUUGGUGUAUUCUAAGAAUGUGAAAGAUCAUGAGAAACAUUUGAGAAUUGUUUUACAAAUCUUGAGGGAACAUCAGUUAUAUGCUAAGUUUAGCAAGUGUGAAUUCUGGCUAAAGGAAGUGACUUUCCUAGGGCAUAUAAUUUCUAAGGAUGGGAUUAAAGUGGAUCCAGCUAAAGUGGAAGCUGUUUCGAAAUGGAAACGACCGGAAAACCCAACGGAAGUUCGGAGUUUUAUAGGAUUGGCAGGGUAUUACCGGAGAUUCAUCCAGGAUUUUUCGAAAAUCGCUGGACCUAUGACUGAGUUGACCAAGAAAAAUGGAAAGUUUAUUUGGAGUUCUAAGUGUGAAGGAAGUUUUCAGGAGUUGAAAAGACGGUUGACUAGAGCGCCUGUCCUAGCUCUACCAAAUGGACAUGAUAGUUUUGUGGUUUACACAGAUGCAUCUAAGGAAGGUUUGGGAUGUGUUUUGAUGCAAAAUGAUAAAGUGAUAGCUUAUGCCUCUAGAAAAUUGAAGCCGCAUGAAGGGAACUAUCCGACCCAUGAUUUGGAGUUAGCGGCUGUGGUCUUUGCUUUGAAGAAAUGGAGACACUAUUUAUACGGAGUGACAUUUGAGGUUUUUACAGAUCACAAAAGCCUUAAGUACUUAUUUUCUCAGAAGGAACUGAAUUUGAGGCAACGUAGAUGGAUGGAAUUUCUGGAAGAUUAUGACUGCAUUAUUAAGUACCAUCCUGGGAAGGCCAAUGUAGUGGCCGAUGCUUUGAGCCGUCAGGUACAAAUGGCUGGAUUGAUGGUUAAGGAAUUUCGAUUGUUGGAGGAAGUUAGCUAUUGGAAUCCUCGAUUAGAACCAAGGAAAGUGAUUUUGGGGAAUAGUGUGAUAACCUCCACUUUAUUGGGACAUAUUAAGGAAUCUCAAGAAAAGGACCCUGAAAUGCAAAAGUUGGUGGAGAAAGUCAAGAUGGGAGACCAGACCGAUUUCACUUUGGGAUCAGAUGGAAUAUUAAGAUUUCGAAAUCGGGUGGUUAUGCCAAAGGAUGAAGGGCUUAGAAAAGAAAUUUUGGAAGAGGCACGCCGAUCAAAGUUUACAGUACAUCCAGGAGGGAAUAAAAUGUACCAAGACUUGAAGAGUCUAUAUUGGUGGAAAAAUAUGAAGUAGGUGAACGGAAAAUCUUAGACACGACUACUGUAUCUUGGAUUGAGGAGGCUAAUGAAAAGGUGAAAUUGGUACGGCAAAAAAUUCAAACCGCUCAGAGUAGACAAAAAAGUUAUGCCGACAAUCGGAGAAAGGAUUUGGAGUUCACUAUUGGAGAUAUGGUAUUUCUCAAGAUUACGCCUUUAAAAGCAAGUUUGAUGUCCGGAAAAGGGAAGAAACUACAACCAAGGUUUGUAGGGCCUUAUAAGAUUAUUCAGCGAGUUGGGAAUGUAGCCUAUAAGCUGGAAUUACCACCGAGUUUAUCUCGUAUCCAUAACGUGUUUCAUGUGUCCAUGCUUAAGAAAUAUCAUCCAGACCCCUCUCAUGUUUUACAACCGGAGAAUAUUGAGAUUGAUGAAACCCUGACCUAUGAGGAGAGACCGGUAAAACUUCUGGAUCGAAAGGUGAAGGAAUUGAGGAACAAGCAGAUACCACUAGUGAAAGUUUUAUGGAAGAACCAUGGAGUAGAGGAAGCAACAUGGGAAGUUGAAGAGACAAUCAGGGAGAAGUAUCCAGACUUGUUCAUCGACCAAGGUAAAUUUCGAGGACGAAAUUUUCUUAAGGGGGAGAGGAUGUGAGGACUCGCAAAAACUAUUAUUUUAUGCCUAAUUUAUGGCUUAAUAAAUUAUUUAAUUGGAUUUUAUUUCCAAGGAAUAUUUUCUAGUCUUAUGAGACCUAAACGCAUGAUAAUAUAACUUCGUUAUAUUUUUAAAAUGAUUCGUUUCGAAAAUUAAUUUCCUAGAGCGCGUUUAGUAAAAAUAGUGAAUAGUACUUGGAGAUUUUAUCCGCGUAGUAGCCCAAUAAGCUUGGAAUAUUGGGGGCUUGUACUAUGGUCCUAAAAUAGGUAAUUUUAUGAAUAAAUAUUCAAGUGAUAGUUAGUAGUGCAAUCGUUAUAGGAAUUUUUCGAAAGUUCCGCGUUAUAGCGGUAAAAUUUGACGGUACGCGUUUUCACACGCGCGACUUCAAUUGAAGGACUUUAGACCCUUAUUUCGGGACAAUUAAGAGUGAAUAAUAUUUACAAGAAUAUAUAUGCCUUGGAGGUUUAGUGCACUAGUGAACCAAACGCGCGAGAAAAUCGAGUCCAAACGCACCCUAAAUUGCACUAUUUCAAGUUGACUUUGAGGUGCAUUUUGCACCACACAAAGAAUCUUCCUUUGGAAGCCAAUUGCAUCAGCACUCUCUCUCUCCUCACCUCACUUGGCCGAGCAACAAGAAAGGAGAAGAACUCUCCAUUGUUCUUCAUUUUUCAUCUUCAAUCCAUGCACUAAAAUCCACCCAAAUCACACCAAACUUGGAGAUCUCUUAGCAAACCACUUGGAGACUACAUCUAGCUAAGGAGGAAGGGAGCUUUCACGGUUUCUUGGAGCUUCAAGAGGGCCGAAAAUUCUGACCUUGCAAACCAAAGGAGUAGGUAAUGAUCAACCCUUGGAUUCUUAUCUUUUGGAGAUUAUAUGACAAGAUUAAGCUCAUGCAUGCACUUAGUUACUUGUUUAUGGUGUAAAAAUGUGAUUGUGGGCUCUUGGAAUUCCCACACUUGGGUUGUUGUUGCUGAUGUGAUGAUUGAUGGUGAUUAUAUUGUUGGUUUAGUGAUAUUAAUGAUGCAUUAGUGGUGGGUAAUUGGUAGGAACUUCAUUGGGUGUAAGAAGCUAAAAUUUCCAAUUUUGCCCCUGCCAUGUUCGGCCAUUUCCAGGCCAAUUUUAAUGGUUUAAUUGCUUGAAUUGGAUGUUUGUAGGAUGUAUUAGAUGUGUGAAAAAUUUCAUUGAAAAAUAAUGAGGUUUGAAUGGGCAAAUGAAUUUUUUUUUAGAAACCAGCAAAUCUGGAAAACUGAUUCGCGUAUGCUCUGACCAGCAGUAGUAUUUUGGCUAUAACUCUGUCCUCGGAUGUCGAAAUCAUGUGCCGUCGGUGGCGUUUGAAACUAGACAUUCCUAGCUUUAAUUUGGUAUAUAAUUUCACGUUCUGAUUCUUUGUGAGCAAGCCGAACCAAAUGUUUUAAGUUCGCUGUCCUGUUACUCUGUUCUUCUGGAAUGAAGUGUUCAGGCAGCAACUUGAUGCCCGAAUUUGAACCAGAUGGGUGCCGAAUUUGGAAAUGGUUUCUUCUGUGAUAUUUUAACUCUAUGAAUGCAUUUUCCAACGGCGUAAGCCAUGCUCAAUUUCGAGCUAUAAUGACUGAGUUGUGACUGAAACAAGUGGACUGCUCUGUUUUGGAAAACCCUAAUCUUUGGACUGGUUUGGAACAAAAUCUUGGAGUGAACUUGUUAGUUGAUGUUUUUGAUAUUAAACACUUACCAAAGGUAUCAUGGGUAUAUCUUAGACCCUUAUUUCACAAAUGAACCAUGGUUGGAUAACUUUCUUGGUUAAACGAUUGGAAUUUUGGAAAAUGAAAGUCAAAGGCAGUUUGCCUUAGGAUUUUUCUUGAACUUUGGUUGGCUAAAUUAACGACCUUGCCGAAGGUAUUUUUCCCCGAAAUUCGAUAGAGAGAUACCUUCCAUAUAGUAUUGAAACACUGCCAAUUUUGGUGCCGAUUCAAGUUCGUUUCGAUACCCAAUUGAAUUACUAAAGUUAGAGGUUCAAAUCUGGAAAAUUCUCAUCCAGUCUUGAAUUUGCUCAACUUCGGGCUACCGUAUCUCGGUGCUCGAAACUCCGAUUUUUGAUCCGCUUGUUUUUUCCUACACUUCACUUGCAACACUAAUUGAGCUGAAAAUUUCAGAGGCCGGUUUACAACGUGCGAAUCGUGCCGAAUUUUCAAAGUUGGCCAAAAUCCAACUUCAUUCUGCCUUGUGAACCAACCCUGCAUCUUCAAGCUCAUUUUUGACCACUUUUCACUUUGAUUCAUGGAAAAGUGUCUUCUAGGAACUUAUAGUACACUCUAAGAGGUUUCCAACGGUAUAAAUUUUUCCAAUUCUCGACUUAUAUCGAGCGAGUUACGAUUUUUCAAAGAUUUAUCGUAAAACUGAAAAAUUUUCCAACUUCAAAGAAAUAGAGUUUUUCAAGAACUCUUUAUUUUUUUUCGAUAUUCUUAAACGUUUUGCUUACGAUUUUCAAGAUAAAAACUCAAAUAAUAUUGUACCUAAUAAAAGGCAAGUCGAACCUCGAUUUACGUGAAAUUGAGGUUCCUUUUUGCAAAUAAUUCUUAGAUUGUACUAGUGUACAAUCUUUCUUGAUAAGUGGGUUAAUUGUGUGAUUAUCCACUAUUAAAUUGCCAGGCGCGCAAGGAGACCUUCAAGAGGAUCUCACCGUGGACACUUGAACUUCCGAAAAAUAAUUCUUAUUGAAUUGCUCGGUGAGUGUCAAGUGUGUGAACUUUGAUACUUGCUUAAUUGUGGUAUUUGUUGAAAGUUUUAAAAAUAAGGGCGGGUACGUACUUUAUCGCACUCGUUCUACUUUCAAAUGAAUGAAUGAAAUGUAUUGAAUGAAUGAAUGAAAUGCAAUGUUAUGUCAUGAAUGCUUGUGUCGUUGGAGUGAACCUCCUCGACCUUCCAAUGAAUGGGGGACGCCCAAACUCAUAGGCCGUCCUUAGACUCGAGCCAGCAAUGGGCUUGGUCGGGGAUUUGGACGAGCCAUGAGAUACACAUAAGCUCGACCUAAUAAGAGGUCUUGCUUGGCAUACUCGUCGAGUAUCGCCCUAAAAAUAGACUUGUGGGCCCUUGGGGUGUACGGUGGACGGAGGGAAGUAAGUGGUGAUCUACGGAAAUGGAAAUACCGACCCGGUUGACAGGAGGGUCAAUGCGGGAAGGUAUACGAAUGACAACGGCAGAUCGAGUGGAACUUAGCUCCUGAGAGCUACUAUAUCCUUGAAUUGUUUCUGAUUACUUUUCCUGUUUGAUUGAUUGAUUAUUGAAAAGACAUGGCUUUAUUUAUUAAAUCUGGGAUUGUUAUUUGACUAAGUGCUUGCAUGUGUGUUCUUGGCCUCACGAGCGUUUAGCUCACCCUAUAGUUUUGUUUUCCUUAACAGGACCGACUCUUGGAGAAAUAUGGAGAAAUCAUCCGUUGUAAUUUUGUUAAGACUCCUGUUAUAUAUUUUGACUAGGCCCUGGUUUGGGUUGUACAUUUGGAAAUUGUAAACUUGAAAAGUUUGGGCCCUGAUGUGUACUUUGAAUUGAAGUCGUUUCAUGAUUACCCGAUGUACUGGUUAUACAUUAAGUGACUUAUUAAGCUUGAACGCUUCCGCAUUAUUGUAUUCAUGUUGCUCUCAUCGAAGUGCUUAAUUCGGUUUUAAAUUGAAUGGAAUUGCUUGAGUCCUGGCGAGAGUUGGGCAGGCGUCCGCGGAUACCCUUUGGUCCGCCUUAGGGAGAUGUGGGGCGUCACACACAGAAUAAGUUAUAGUAUUCAAAUACAGUCCAGAAGAAAAACAUAAGUAAGCAUUCCGCUUUCAGUUACCAGAACCUGUUAAGGAAAACAAUAAACGUGGGGUGAGCUAAAGCUCAGUGGUGCCCCAAACAUGCAAUCACAUAAAUCAAACAGCGAGUAAUAAUUUAAUCAAAUUGAACAGUUAGGAAAGCGUGUAACAGCACAAGGUAGGAUACAGGGGCUCUCAGGAGCCAUUUUCCACGCUUGAUCAGAUACCAUCGCAGUUGACCCUCCGUCAACUUUCACUACUUAUAGUCCAUGUAGAUCCACUUAUUUUAAUCCUAACCCGUCACCAUUCAUACCCCUGUCCCAGGCCCGCUCACCGACUAAGGACGUAGUAUCCUCGAGAUAUACCCGUCACAGUAGUUGGAUACAGAAGUCGAGGGAUUCACCCAACGACGCAACUACAUUUUAGAUUUAUGGUAGUUGGAUACAGAAGCCGAGAUACAGAAGCCGAGGGAUUCACCCAACGACGCAACUACAUUUAGAUUUAUGGUAGUUAGAUACAGAAGCCGAGGGAUUCACCCAACGACGCAACUACAUUUAGAUUUAUGGAUUCAGGAGAAAAUGUUUUUUGCACAAGUCACCACUCGAACGGCUAGUGCGAUAAAGUACACACAGCUCACUUCGAUGGAUCAGAAACCAAUUUUUCAAAUUAUCACAUAUCAAGUCAAGAAGGUACUUUAAGCAGGUAAGCAUAGAACAGGCAAGGACACUCACCCAAAAGUGAAGUUCAGAGUUCAAGCUGGGAUUCAAAAUUCCACGUCCUCGCUAUACCCUAGAAAUCCAGAAUUUAAAACUAUAAGUGUUGUUGUACGGUUCUUGGUUUAUAAAUACAAAGUUAUCUGGUAUAUAACUAGUUUAUCUACUCCAAAUAAAUUAACAAUUUCCCUAGAGUUAAACUAGUGAAAGUGAUGAAAUACUUCAUAGGAUUUCUUUCUUUCUAGAGGUGCAAACCAGAACUUAUUUGCUUUGAAUAAGAUUUCUUGCCAAACAAGUUUUCUGCGCCUUUUAUUUAAAAUUAUUAAAAUCAAGUUUGACCUUUAAAGUACAAAUAUAACACUUUCAAUUUCUAUUCAAGUUCCAGGUUUAUAACUAUAAAGGUUUAUCGAGUAUAUAACUAGUUUAUCGUUUUGAAGUAAAUUCAAAGAUCUACUUAGGUUGAAACUUGGCAAAAGUAGAAGAAAUGUUUUUAUAGUUUUCUUUAAGAUACUUUUCCUUAUAAAAGGUAACUAGUAUUAUUUUCUUGAAAUAAGUCGACAAACCUCUUAAUAUCAAUGUUAGAAAGUUACUUUGAACAUUCCUCUAAAGUUACGGAUUUUGCAGAAAUUAUCCUUAAAAACUAUUUUUCCUAAAAUAGGGUUUCUUGCCGAGCAAGUUUCCCAAGCUUUUCACUAAAAUUAGUAAAACUCGUAUUUUGGAACUUUUCCUAUAGUUAACUAUCCAAGUGCAAAGCUUAAGGAAAGAAAAGGAAUUAAAAUAAGACUUAGAGUUUUCAAAAACUAUAGAACUUAUUUACUAUAGCUAUCAAGGCUAGUUUAAGCUAAAGGAAAUUAUCGAGUUGGAAAGUUUUAGGCAAAACACUAGAUAUGGAGUUUUAUAAUAUAAUACUAGCUGGAAAAAUAUUUUUUGAUUAAUUUGAUCACAGUUACUCGAGUUCGCAAGGUCGAUACAACUUCCACAGCUCCGAUUCCGUUUCGAAAUCAUAAUAUGGAUCAAAAUAUGGCAAAAAUCACAUAUCAAAUUACUAGGGCUUCGUCAAUCAUUAGCCCUAGAUUUCAACAAGUGCAUUUCUGAAUAAAAUAAAAUGAUCAACCAAGGCUUCAUCAAUCAUUAGCACUUGGUUUCAGCAAGCCCAUCAUAAGCAAAUAAAAAUAAAAGUAAGGCCUCCAAGACAUUCCAGUAAUUAACUUUCAUCAUCCAGUAGUACUUAUAAAGUCAUUCAAAUGGCCAAGGGUUUCAUCAAUCAUUAGCUCUUGACAACCAAUACACACUUUCAAAUACCAAUUCAUUCAAAACAAGAACAAAAACUACAACCAACUUGAGAUCCAAAUGAUUCCAAGAAUCUAAAAUAUCCAUUAAACUUUCCACUUUUAUUUGCUAGAAUCACUAUACAUAUAGAUUAUAAUCUGUCCAAACCAAGCUAAAGCAAAUAAUACACAAAUCCAGCAAAUAAACUCACCAAAAGUCCCAACCAGUUCGGUCAUGCUGGAAAAAUAUUUUCCUUCAAAAAUUGCUUUAGUUCAUGUUCCACAAAUCAAAACAAUUAUGAAAGUUAUACUGUUGUAGAAUAGAUUUUUAAAUACUAUCACAUCCCAGAAGACACUUUUCAGAGAUUCAAAUUACAAAUGGCCAAAUAUUCUAUCCAAGUCAAGAAUUCUGUUUCCUGAGGAAACAGGACAUUCAAACAGGACAGCCUACUUUGAGGAAUCACGGACAACAGUACAAAUGGAGGAAAAAUAUGAAAUUUCUACAAAACAAAGGCCCAUGACUCUAGUUUCAAAUGCCACUGACGGCACCUCAAUCGGAUUUUCCUACACCAAGAUAUAAGCAUUUUACUGAGACUGGUCAGAGAAAUCCGAAAAUCUGGAAACUCAUUUUUCACUUGUGAAAAACUCCUUUUCCUCUUUGAAAACCAUAAGACUCUUAUUCAAACCAUCAUACAUUUAAGUAUGACAUUCAUACCAGCAUAUAUCAAAGCAAAUAACGCUUAAUUCCCAUAAAUUAUUCCACCAAAAAGUCCCCAUAAAUCUGUCAUCAGCUAAGAUAAAAUUUGCCAGCAAUUGAUAGUUUAUUUAUAUCGCUUUUGUUCCUAGUUUUCUUCAAUUCUUACCUCAGCUCAACAUGCAACAGGUGAUUAGCAAGCCUCAAGCAAAUCUUAAACAUCCAAUACGAAAAUCUGAAUUGAAAUUCGAAAACAAAACUAGUUAAAUGCUCACUUCCUUCUCUCGACCAAGCUGGAAUAUUUUGCAGCAGAAAAUUUCCCUCGGUUUCAAUCCACAAUUCAACUUUUCCUCAGAUUUUCUUCCAUUAAGCUUCACUUAAUACUUAAAGCUAACAAUCUAUAUGCAAUUCAUAACAAAAUUUUCCACUUGACAGCAAUUACAAAUGCAAACAAACAUGAAGUCUCUCGGCUAUUCCAGAAAAUUUCCAGCAGCUAAGUUAGACGCAAAUCUGGAUUUUCUUCAGCUGAAACCUUGUAUUAAGUACUCAAAACCAACAUGCAUGACUAAUUAAUGGAAUUACUAUCAGCUCUGGUUUAAAUCAAGUUCGGACAGCAACUACUAUCAUCCACAAUUCCAGAAUUUUCCAACAAGUCUCGGAUGAAACAUGCAUGUAGCAGAUUCGGUUUCUUUUUAUUUUAUUUCUCUUGCUUAGCCGGUCUGAUAAUUUCAUGCAAAGCUUAACCUUCUGAUUUUAAUUAGUCAAGCACCUACCCAAGUGAAAGUCAACCAUUUUCCAGCAAAUUUCCAGAAACAAGCUGCAAUUCCAGCUUCAAACUUUCGACAGCUUUAAUUCUUUUCCAAAUCAGAUUUCUUAAGUCACAAAUCCUCAUCUAACCUCACAAGCACCACAUGCAAGUCCAUAGCUGACCUCACUUGCCUAUAACCAACUAAUUUCAGCUCAGAAGUUACCUCAAAUGGAGCUCACACACACGGUUAGCAGCAGAAAUAAUCCUCCUCCCUUCGGCAGCCCAAAAAUGCAGACCACUAGCUCUCUCUCUCCCUUGCUCUGGGUGGCGGCUGGAAUGGAGAAAGUUCAGCCCUCAGUCCCUUCACCAGCUCACGGUUAGAAGGACGAUGCUCAGCUAGACUCUCUCCUCUCUCUCUAGUUUGCGGACAGAAAGGAGCAAAAGAAAUUAAACAGCUCGGUUCUUGCUCCUGUCGAUGAUACCGAGACAAGGAGUGAUGUGAAUUGAAAUGGUAUUAUGAAGUGUUGGAGUUGCCGAAAUGAGAAGCUAAGCCGUGGAUGAGGAAUUGCAGUGGUUUCGGUGGAGUUGUGCAGAGGAAAUGAGAUUUGGUGAAGAGUGGUAUCUCGGUAUCAAGAAAGAAAUGGUUUGCGGUUUGCUUGUGCCGAGAAGAAAUUGGAAUUGCGGUUUUAGAUUGUGAAAUAGCAUGUGAAAUAGAGCAAAUGGUAUUGUGGUGCCGUGGUUUACGAGAAAGGAUUGCGUAUAAGAAUUGGUUGCGUAUCGAAUUGAUAAUAGAUGCGGUGAUUGGACUUGCGGUCAGAAGUCUUGUUUGGUUUGCAUGGAAUUGUAAGGGUAUUUUAGUCUUUUCACUUUGCUUCCUAACCUCAACUUAAUUUCUCAAUUCCGACUUAAUUCUAAAAAUUAUCCCCAAGUGUGAUUUGAACGUCUAAUCAUAUCCUAAUAUACCUAAACCAUUUUUAUCGAAUAAUAAUCGAUUAAACUUGAAUAUUAAGGUUCCUAGUAAUUCUUAUAUUAUUUAGCGAUUGAAUUAGUUAUUAGAAUUUCCAAUUAUUAUAUCUCAAGAAUUAGAGUUAAUCUAACUCGAAAUUUAUCGUUUUAGUAAUAUAAAGUCAAGUGAAACAAUAAUUUAAUCCAAGGGUGUCAGUUUGCACAUAAAAAUUAUUUUUACGCACUUAUUGUGAAAACAAAGAAGGAUAAGACUAUAAUUAUCGAAAUUUUCACGUCUUAAGUAUGUUUAGUAUAUUAGUAUCAUAUUUAUCUAAAAUUCAUUGGUUUUCAUUUUAACGCGGAAAUUCCUAUUAACAUUUAACAUUAUUAACGAUUAAAACUAGUUAUCGGAAAUCAAAGAAUUUAUUUUAAAGUAAUAGAAUUAAUCCAACUCAAGAAAUAUUAAUUUAGUAUAGCAAAACUGAAUCAUUCAAUAUUGGCACAAUUAUAUUAUUUAUUACAUAGAAAUUAUCUUUACACUUUUAUUUCAAAACAAUUAAUUACAAUACUAGAAUUCAAAGAAAUUAAUUAUUAGAUCAAUGAAAUAGUUUACCAUUGAAAUAUGAAGUUAAUGUAACAAAACUAAGAAGUUUAGUAGUUUAGCACAAUUCUUUUAUUUUGCACCUAACGUUUAUUUCUACGUACAUAUUUAAAAACAAUUGGACUUAGUGCUAAAAUUUAUUAAAGAAUUAAAAUGCAAAUAAAAUAUGCACUGAUAUUUAUAUGUCUAUUUUCAGGGUUCUCACAUACAUUUUUUUCUCACAUGAAUUAUCCACAAAAUUCUGGUCCUUAACACUCAGAAAGUACAAAAGGAUCAUCUAUUGAUACAUUAGACUAGCAGCACUAUUUUGUCAUAUAAUAAUCAAAACCUCGCUGGGACAUUACGUAAAUGUCAAAACAUUAGUUUUUAUGUUUUACAAUAAUUAUUCAUAGUUUGGCAAAAUCUAAUUGGUACAUAAUGAAAAGUCAAAUUUUUUUAUAUUUUGCAUAUUUGGAGAGGCCAAAAAAUAUCUAAAGAAAAUCUUGUGGGGAAAUUCGCUGUCAUUAAAUAGCUUUUAUAUAUAAAAAAGAGUAUAAAAUUGGAAUAUAUUUGAAAGCUAUUAGAAUGGAAUAAAUAGUUACAAGAAUAAUGCAAGGCAAAUUAUUUCCAUUGCGUAAAAGCAUAAAAUUUGAGUAAACCAAAAAAAAAGUUUGGAGUAAACAAAGUUAGAAGGAAAAACCUAUUAAAUGUUAAGGGCUUCAAUGUCACAUUGGUAAAUAGGAUGUCUAUUGUGGAUAUGAUGGGUGGAUUUAGCCCGUUCGUUGAUAAAAAAUAUCCUAAUAAAAUUAAAUGAUAUACUAUCAGUCCUGAUGAAGAACCUAUAUAUUAAUAACAUAAUUUACAUAUUUACAUGUUGCAUAUUCCACAUUUAUCCAUCCGAAUCGUAGUUAAGCUAGAAAUCCUGAAAUCGUGGGCAAACUAGUGAGAUCCAAAAGGAGAAACACUAAAGUCAGAAACCCCCCUUAGAACUUAAAAAAGUAUGGAAUAGUGUAGACAAUGUAUAGGUAGGGCUGCAAACGAGUCGAGCCGAGUCGAGUUUUAGCCUUAUCGAGUCGAGCCUUAACUUAAUUUCAUCGAACUCGAACUCGAACUCAAGCUCGACGAGCUAGUAAUUUUGAAGCUCGAGCUCGACUCGAUUUAAGCCGAGCUUGAGCUCGAAAAAAAUAAAAAUAAUUAUUUUAUUUUUUAAAAAAAUAAAUAAAAUAAUAUUUUUUCUUAAUAAAUAAUAAAAUAUUAAGGAUAUUUAUGUAAUUUUACUAUUAAAAUAAAAAAAAUAUAUAUAUAUAUAUUCGAGCUCGCGAGCCGAGUUUAAUGUUUUGAGCUCGAGCUCGAGCUCGAUUUUGACUCGACCAGCUCGAUCUCGACUCAAGUUCGAAUCGAGCGGCUCGAUUCAUUUGCACUCCCAGUAUAGGUGUAGUCAACAUGAUGAUGCUGGAUGGUUUCAUUGACUUCACAACAAUGAAGACUAGGCACAUAUUUCCUUUCAUUACAAAACAAAAAAAAAAUAAAGAAAAGAAAAGAAAGGAAGACUAGGUACAGUAUUAUUUGCAAGGUUUGGAAUCCCCAGAGUCUUGAAAUGAUCAGACACUCUGCCCAAAGAGGUCUCGUAAAAUGCUUCUUGUGAUAAAUUAUGGAGGUUUGGAAACCCCAAAAUCUAGAAAUCAAACACUUUUGUGUAAAACAGGUCUCCUAAAAUGCUUCUUCUGGUGAUCAUUCUCCGUGCUAGUGGUGAAUUACAAGGAAAUGCUUGCAGAUUAGGGAAUGUCAAAACUCAAGAAUACAAGUGACUCCUGUGAUUAUGGAAUGUAAAAACUCAUGAGUAGAUUAGGGAAUAUCAAAACUCAUGAAUACAAAUCAGUCUUGUUGCUGCCCCCGUGCCCUCAAUCUAGUGAGGCCAAUACAAAAAGUAGAGUAGGAGAUGGGAAUUGAUAGGCAUACGGUGCAUUGGUUCAGAAAAUUGGCUUCAGAUAUCCGAUUCUGCUACCACAGAAAAUCACGCGAUGGAAGAAAAAGAAAUACGUCCAAUUAGAAGUCUGAUUUGAGUUUUGCUCUAUAAAAUAAGAUUGCAAUUCCAAUUAGUCUCUCCCAUUCCCCUUUCCCCUCCAUCUAACUUUUGAGUUAUGAAGAAGUUAUUAGUUAGUUGAUCUACAUAAAUAUUAUUUUUAAGGAUAUUACUAUGUUUGUUUUUCAUUUUUUUUUGGUUAAAUAAUAUCUCUUAGUGGUUAAACAGUGCAUUUUUUGUUUAAUUAUUUCAAUUUUCAUCUACCAAAUGUCCCAUUCAAAUACUUGAUUUUGCAUCCUCGAUCAUUCCCUUAUCAUCCACAAUAAAUAAAAUUGUACAUAUCUACAUAGGAUCCAUAUAAAAGUAUAAUAUAGACAUCUAUUCAUUUAAGCAUCUUGAUGUGAAAAGGAUCACAGUUAAGAUCUUGAAAAAUAAUAAAAUAAAAAAUUGGAAAAAAAAAAAAAAGAGUUUCACCCGAUUCUAGCGCACUUCCCAUAUACAUUGCACAUGCAUCGUUGAUACCUAUACUCCAAUGUCCCUCUCGACUGUGAAUUAUUUUUUAUUAGUAGACAAUAUCUUUUGUGUUUUUUUUUCUUUUCCUUUCCAAAAUUCCAUUUAAGUUAAGAGUUUGAUCCUCUCACCUAUGUGCUUAGGUAGGGAAAGAUAUAAGGGUUGCAAGUUGCAACCUCGGUUAGGUCAUUCUUUCAAGAAGAAGGCUCCAUUGUUAUCCUUUCCCUUUUUUUUUUUUUAAUGGCCUGCCAUCUCUUUUCAUACCGUUUCUAUCCCUAACUGUUAGGUACUAUAUAUUUGAAUUGUGAAUUGUACCCUUUCUAUCCCUAACUGUUAGGUACUAUAUAUUUGAAUUGUGAAUUUGACAAUAGGGAAAAUUCUAACAGUUUUCCUUUGACCACUGGAUCUAAGUUCUUCAUACACAUAGAUCAUCUUGUGUGCUUUACGUGAAGCAAUAUCAAGUCUAAUAGAGUUACUGUUCCUCUAAGCUUGUUCUACUAAAUUUCUCCACGCUUGAAUUGUCUGCUUUUGAGCAGACUAAGCCAGCCAUAGAUGGUUAACCUUGACAGGUCAGUGGGGUGUCACUAACAUUUUUUUAUCUUCUUUCAGAUCUAAUUGAUUAUGAUGAUUUGAUGAUACUAUUAAACCUAAGUUAAUUACCUAUCAUUAAACUACUACAAUUCCUCAAAAUCUAUUUACUAUAAGAUCUAGAUGCAUUCUUUACUUGGUAUAGAUGUUGUUGCAACAAAAAUACAUACUUGGGCAAUAGUUUUUUUUUUUUUUUUUUGUAAAUUAAUACAUAGCAUGAGGAAUCACGUGACACUCAAUUAUAAUUGCUUUUUAGAUUACUUAUACCCAAAAAAGAUGAAUAUUUUUGGGGCUCAAAGUGUUAAUUCUUUUGUGUUAUAAACAACAAAACAAAGGUUGUUUAGACUGUAAUAUAUCAUUAGUUCCACUGAAUUUAAGGAUCAAACAAAUAAUGGAAUCAUACCCUAGGCACAUACCUCAACAACUCAAGUUUAUAUGGUGCCAGUUUAUACCAAGUAAGUACUACAUUUUAUCAUAUCACUCUUGAUAGAGUGAGAUUAUUUUGUAUUAUAUUUGUAGUGUAGUUUUCCUCUGCUAUUAGUGUGGAUAUCUCUCUUUGUGGAGUUGAGUUUACUACUAAAUUAAAGGCAUGAAACAAGUAGAAGGCGAAUUAAUAUUCGAACUGGUGCAACUUGCUGAAUUGGAAACUUUUGCACAAUUUGCCUCUGAUCUCAAUAAAGCUACUCAGAAUCAAUUAGCAAGAGGUCAAGAUUGUAUAAUUAUUAUUAUUAUUUAGUCAACGUUAAUGUUCACCUUUUAAAAAGAUAAGGGAUAAUUUCAAAAACCUCCCCUGAGGUUUUUGACAAUUUCACUAACCUCUCUUCAGAUUUGAAUAAUUACACUAACCUCCUUUCAUGUAGUAAAAUGACUAUAAUAUCCUUCACUUAUAAAUAAUUCCUACAAACAAAAAAACUCUACAAUUACAACUAGUCUUUUAUUCUAAAACAACUGUUGCCACACAAACUAAACUCUGAGUUCUAUCUUUCUGACUCUUUCUCCUACCUUCUUUCUCUUACAUCUCUUUUUUCACAAAUAGACACACUCUCUCUUUUUUGUUUUCUUUUUUUUUUUAUAAGUAUUAUUGAAUUGAAAUUACAAAAUGACAAGUUGUCGGAUCAUAUUUGUUGUCAAGGUGAAAAAGAUGGCGGUCAUACAGAGUACAUACAAGAAAAUAAAAAUGAUAGCUAAAAAGGAAAUGUGGAUUAAAGAAGGUUAUGAUAUUAUACCAAUUAUAUAAAAAAGAAUUUUGAGAUAUAAAACUAUAAUCAAAUUUGCCUAGAGACAUGGGAUGUGGUCUCUAGUGUUACUUUUAAUUGCUCUGUGUUGGUAUUCUUGGUAAAUUACAUUAUUUUAGUAACAACAAGGUUAAAUAGUGACAUUGGUCAAUUCAAACAUUGAAUUAGGCAAAAAAGAAAUGAGGCUAAAUAUUAGGUUGAAUGCAGACUUUAAUUGUCACAGUUGAUCUGCAUGGGAAGCUUUGGGGCGGCAAUAGUAGGCUAUAAAAUUGUAAGAAUAUGGGAAUUAAGGUGAAGUGGUUUAUUGAGUUCGUUAGGGUGAUGGUUAUGUCGUUUACAAUAGUUGUAAUGUAAAAGAAAUUUAUUAGUUUGUUUUUCCCCAUUCUAAGUAACAAAGGGGUGUUUUAGGAUUUUUGAAGAGAAAGUUAACAUAUUGGGUCUAUAUUGUUACUGAAAUGCUAAUCAUAGGGGAGGUAGGUGUAAUUUUUUAAAUUAGAAGGGAGCUUCCUACAAUAGUCAGAAACCUCCCCUCUGAAAUUAUCCCAAAAGAUAAAGAUGGUAGUCAUUCAUUUGUAAACUCUCUAACGCUUUUGCUUCAAUUAUUAAUUACAAUUUUUGAAGAGAAACUGAAAAAUGUAUGUUUUUUUGGUCAUAUGUAAUUGUUCGCGCGAAUUUCUUGGUAGGGUUAUUUUAUUUAAACCGAGGUGCCAAGAUUUUGGGGUUUUUGAGGGUUUAAACAGAGGCUUGAUGGCCGCUAGUGGCUGAGGCAUCAGCCCUGCUGGAGUGGAAGAAGAAGGAAAAAGAAGAAGAAGAAGAAGAGAAGGAAAAAGAAAAGAAAGGAAGGAAAAGACAAAAUGAAUGGGCUAAUGUUUUAUUUUUUGGUAGGCCCCAUUUUCAGUUGGGCUAGAGGUUUCCUUUUCUUGGUUUUAAUCUGGGCUUUGGGGAAACUUUUUUCAUUUCGGCUUGUUUCUCUUUUAAUGAAGAUAGCCUGCAUUUUUCUUUUGGGCCGAAGGCGUCCAACCCAAGCAAUUAAAAAUAAAUGGCCCAGAACCUUUCUUCUUGCCCAAAUCAGUAACCAAAAUUUUUAUUUUAGCCCCUGAUCUUUGGAAUAGUUUUAUUGUGACCCAAAAAUUUUAAAUUUAUUUCAUUUAGGCCCUUACUUUAAUUGUAAUUUGGUCUCUGAACUUUAUCUUUAUUUAAUUUUGACCCCUAAAUUUUAAGAAAUUUAUAUUUUUGACCCAAAAUUUUCUAGUUUUUUCAAUUUAAUCCCAUAUGACUUUUUGACUCUCUUUAUUACAAUUAUUUCUCUUCUUUAAUAGCUAAUUAUGUUACUUUUGAAUGUAUUCAACUUGUAAUUUUAGAGGUCCUUAAGUUUCUUUAUAUUUGAUAUAUUAAUAUGAAUUUAGUACUUAUUAUUAUUAUUAUUAUUAUUAUUAUUAUUAUUAUUAUUUUCAAUUAAAUUGGUGUCAUAAUUCUAUUGUUCAUUUUGAGCAUAAAUAGGGCAACUUGGGUCCAUUUAGUCACCACUUCAAAAAAAAGGUACUCCUAUUAUUAUUUCAAUGUCAGUUAUGUGCUUUUAUGUGCUCCUACGUGCUUCUAUAUGUUUAUACAUUUUUACAUGCUUUGUUAUUUAUUUAAUUCAAAUGUUUAUUUAAAUUUUCUUAUGUUUGUUUAGUUAAUUUUAUAAUUAUUUGGGAGGUGUUUAAAUACCUCAAGAUGUAAUAGAUAGGUAAUAUUUUGUAAAAAAAAUUGUAAUUAGAUAGACUAUUGUAAUAGAUAGAAUAGAUAGGUUUAUUUUCUUAUAUUUUCCCAUUUUAGAUUGUAGUCAGACUCCCCGUUAUAAUAGAUAGGUUUUGCGUGUUUACGUGUUUAUGUGAUUUAUGUGUUAUGUGCUUUAUCCGCUUUCCUUAGGUUUUUUACAUCUAGAUAUUAUGUUUUAUGUGUUACAUGCUACGUGCUCUUAUAUGUUUAUUUGUUUUAAUUUAUGCCUUAUUCGUUUUAUUAUGUAUUAUUAAUGCAUGACUUCACCACACUAGUCCAACGCUAGUUGUGGCUUCUCUCUCCGCCUACUUGCUAGUCUAAUGCUAGCAAGGUCUUUUACAAAUGGAUUAGUUCAACGCUAGACCCUUAAGUCGUUCACGCAUUAGAUUUAUUUUUUGUGUGACAUUCAUUACAUUUUCAUGCAUUUUUUGUUUUAGGAUAUUUUCUCAUUUGCAUGAUAUUGCCUAUUAUAUUAUCCCCCACCCUAUAUAUGUAUUAAUCAUAUCAUUUAGGAUUACAUCUCAUUUAAGAAAUUGUAAAAUAAGCUCGUUCAUUUGCUUAUUUAGAUUAAAAAAAUUUAUCUUUUGAACAUGGAAAAUGGGCAAUUAUAACAUUUUAGUUUAAAUACCCCGUUAAUCCCUACACAGGAAAACUAUGUUACGAGUUUUUACUUCCCAUACCCAUUAUAUUGCACUCCCUAUUCCUUGAUCACUUAUAUUUAUAUAUAUAAUUUAAUUUUCUUUUCUUUUGAAUUUCACUUUUGCAUACUUGUGAUCCUUUCAAGGGAUUAUUUUUUGCCUUCGCAAUUAAUGUGAUCGAUAUCAAUUAAACCAUUGAAUGGACAUUUUGUCCAUUUCAAUACUUUCUAUAAAUUUAGACUUGCAUCCAUGUAGGAAACAUCCAAAUGUGAUAAAUUUAAGGGUUAGAUUAGAGAAAUUCUAGCUAAAUCACGCAACAAGCUUAGAUUUGGUUGAAAGGAUGCCUUAGAUUUGAGCUGAUCAUACCUUUGCCUUCCGUUUCUUCAAUCGUGACUGUCGAGUUCAUUUUUCUCUUGUUUUCGAAAAUCGGGAGUUGUUGAAAAGGAUUUUAUAUAUUUUUUAUUUUUAUCAAAAAAUAUUUUUUUUGGUGACUUGGUACACCCAAACUCAAUACCAAGUGGCGACUCCUAUUUUUCUUAAAAACCCUUUUAGACUAAAUUUUGGGUCCAAACUAUCGCAUUCUUUAAAGUUCCAUUUUAGGCCUUUUUUCACUUAUUUUAAAAUAAAAAUCACAUCUUUUGUAAACAUGCUUUUCAUCGCGAAAAAUGGGGGGUGACAGUCAAUUCUAAAAAAUCUAAAAUUGUGUUUAAUUUGGCUUCUUUAUACAUUGUUUUGAGUUCACAUGAGCUUUUAUCGAAUUGAGCUCGAUUGAAUUUUUCACAUACAAAUUUGUCCCUUAAAUUAGUAAGAAAAUAUUUAAUCAAAUCAUUAGAAAUAUCAUAUGUGGUUAUUUGGGCCACACAAAAUAUAUAUUCUAACAUGAUGUCGUCAACCAAGCUUAUAGUUGGACAAUAAGAUACGUGAGAUUUUAUUCUUUGUUAAUCAUCCAUUAUAAGUUCUUUUUUAUUCAUCCAUUACAAUGGAUAGCUUCUAGAUAUGAUUGAUUAUGCAAGCUAAUGCUCCACAGUCAGGAGCAGCUGUUUCAAAGCCAUUUCUUGGGUUGCCCUUCGGCAACUAACAACGCCUGCACAAUCCAUAAGGUCCACUAAACUUGUUUCAUGUUCUCAAUUUUCGCUUGAGGAGGACAAAAAUAACAACCAUAUCCUGAUUCUCAGGGUUAAAGAGAGAGGAAGACUCUGCAAGUUUCUGCGUAAACAGUUCAAACAAUUCAUCCAUGAUAUCACUUCCAAAUUGUUUCACUAGAAGUCCCUCUAAUGCAGCUCUGAAGUACAAAGCAAUUCCACUAGGGUUGGAGAAAACCACAUGCUUUCCUGGAAUGCUUAAUAUCUCCAGUCUCUGAACAUUUAGAUGUUCAUUUGCCUUCAUCAGGGUCUUUAUCUCAUUAGGAGAUGGGAGAUAUAGUGGCAAGUUGAACAUAUCCACUUUCAAUUCAUCGACCAAUCCCUGCAAUAGGUGCAUCUUAGUAUUUAAAGUACUUUUUUUUUGUUAGCCAAAACUAUGGUCGAAAUUCGAAGAUAAACUUCGACCAAAACUCAUUCUUAUAUAGUAUAUGAAAAAUAAAGAAAUUGUAAAAUUAAAAAUUCCUACUCAUGGAUUUGCAACUGCUAUUUUUAAGCUGAAGACAUGUUUCAGAAAUUAUGGAACAUAGUUAAUAGCUUACUCGUGACCAAGGAGGUAUUCCAUUCAUUCUCUGCCAUUGGUAUAUUAUGCCUGAUUUGGUUGAUUUCCUGUAUCCAUUUUGUUUCAUCCUGGAUAUUUUUAUUAAUCAGAAGAAAUGUUGGAAAAAGAGAUUGGUGCCUUGUUGUGACGCUUUUGGGCCAGCCUUAAUUAUCCGGUAUGAUUUCUAUUCUGUCCAUCUUAUGGAACAUAUGAAGCUCACUUCCAUCCAAUACUUUGUACCUUUUUAUUUCAGCGAAAUAAGUACAUAAGUUUAGAGGGUAAGGACUUAAUAUCAAAAUAAUGUCUUAUAUUUGCAAAUAGGAAUGAAAAACGAACGAAACUAUAUAUUAUACUUGAAUUGAUGUUGAAAUAGUAAAAGCUAAUUUGCGCUUAGUUCACCAAUUAAUCAAACCAAACACAAACAAUAUUUUGUAUCCAAUAAAAUUUCAAAUUUGAAAUCGAGCUUGGCUGACUUAACAUAGUAUAUGAAAUUUAUAUGUGAAAAUUUUAAUUGAGUUUGACUUGAUAGAAGCUCAUCUAAAUUCAGCGUAAUAAAUAAAUGAAUUAAAUUUAAGUACAAUUUUAAACUCUUUAGAAUAGAUAGACAAGUUUGACAACUUGAGUGCUUGGCUCAAUUAGCUUCAUUCAUAACCCUAUUUGCAAGUAAAAAUUUUGAAAUUUUUUGUGGGGCAAAUGUAAAAUGUCAAAAAUAUUUCCACAGAAUACCAGAUUCUCAAUGUUCAAGCUUGGGGAGAAGGGCAAGUAAUUAAUAUCAGAAUAAUUUCUUAAGGCUAAAUUAUAAUACAAAUAGACUUUUUAAAAUUCAUAAGAGGGAAAAUAAAAUUUUUAAAAUUCUUGAGGGGGUGGCUGCCCCUCCCUGCAAAGAUCCGAUCCAAUAAAACUCUUGUCUCGCAGGUUCAUAGAAGUGUUAAAAAAGAAUUGCAAAUGUCAUUUGAAUUAAAAAAAAUGAAUAAUUUAACUAUCUAAAACUAUUUAGGAUAUAUUAGAUGAUAAUUCGAAUUUAAUAUUAUUCAAGUGAUAAAAAAAUCAAUAUUCUAUGUUGCAUCCCUGCAUUGAGAUGUAUUCACAUAGAGUUCUUAGUUGAAGAAGAUCUGAAACUAAUGAAAUCUAACCUUCUUAGCCAAGUCCAUGAGGCAAGAUCCUAGAACUUCAAAUUCUUUCUCUGUGACGAUAGUUGUCUGAGAUUCGCGGAUGGCAUCAGGGACAGCAGGAAUAACAAGGGCCAUCAGCCCUCCAUCGACUAGCUCGUGUGCCCUUGCAUUCAGAAAUGACUCCAAGUCAUUUGCAAAUUGAGAUGCAUAAACCUCAAGAACUUUCUUUUUGGCCCCUCCGUGGUGAAUCUUUCCUUUGUUCCAUGCAGGGGACGUGUUGUCUGUAACCUCUUUUGGCACAUCUGAAAGCCAGUGAAGUGCGCAAGAUGAGUGAGCAAAAUGAAGGGAUGCCUUUGGGAGCAAAACCUUGUGGAAGUCACCAGGCACUCCAGCUGCAAGGUAGUGUCUCUCUGGCGGAAGUGAAGCAAAAAGUGUGUUGAAAUCAUUAGAUAUAUGGUCAUUAAAAAAGACUUGAAACUCAGGGACUUCAGAUGCUAGUCCCUCUUUUCUGAGUUUUUCCUCCAGGGCUUCUCUUAUCACUUUCAUGGCCACAAAUGUAUUUGGUCCUGUAGAACAGCCAAAAUCUGCUAUGCGAAAUGGAUGCACAGAGGUUGAAGAAAGUUGCUUGACAUCAAGUUCUUUGUC